rnacentral:lncRNA from 1 species
GUUCCAGGCCCUGACAACAUGGAGCACCUGAAGAGGAUUGCUGAGGAGAUGCAGAAGCAGGUGGCUGCUGCGGGCGCCAUCCAGCCCAAGGAGGAGAACGACGACGACGUUCCGGAGCUCGUUCCUGGAGAGACCUUUGAGGAGGUAGCCCAGGAGACAAAAGCCUGAUCAUCUCAUAGACUCCGCCCCGCCAAUAGCGAAGCAUUACUUGACCCGAACUGCUACGUGGUCAUGGUUUUCUAUGACGGCCCUGUUUUGCUCCCUCUCCUAGGCCUUCUGUAUUUGCUGCAGUUGGAAACUUUUAGUUUCUCCCACCGAGUUUUUAUCCGAGUUAUGAAUGCUGAGUUGCCCGUGGAUUCCUUUUUAGCUGCUUUUUGAUGAUGAUUGCGUACCAUUUUUUUGGUUGAUUGGUUCACAAUAUACCUGAGCUCCAGCCUUUGGUGAGUUUUGCUCAAGUGUGUGGUACUCCUCCUUGACAUUAGGCAUGCUCAGAUUGCUUUCAGAUUCUCCUUAGCUUGAUAUCAAAGAUGUUCCUACUGUAUAGGAUCUGAUUGUCAUGAUGCCAAUGUAUUCCUCUUAUCUGCUUUUGAUGAUGACACCCCGCUGGUUGGUUCACUCGCAAUCUAGUCGACAAUACUGAAACUUGGCCUAGCUCAGCAAAGCCUGAAAUUAGGAUGCAUGUAGCAGCAUUUCGAAGUCUUUUAUUAUUAUUGAUUAAAAGUUGCAUUACCAUGUCUGUAUUUGUUCUACUGAAACCUACAUUCUGAUCUGAUCAAUGUAGGGGCAUAAACCUACAUUCUGAUCUGAUCAAUGUAGGCGCAUUCUGGUUGCUUGUUUGCACAUAGAAGUUUGCCUCAAAAUAUGGGAGUCAGAUUUUGACUGAUCAUUCUAUCUUGCGCUCUCUUGGCCACCGUCCCUAUAUAUUUCUUCCUGGCCCCUCAAUCCCUUGGUUACCAAGCGAGAGGGCAAGCAUGAUCUUGAAUUCUUGACGAACUCUGAAAAUCUAGGUCGUUGCUCAUUCUGGUAAUGUAUAUUGUAAUGUCUACCGUACGCCCUACCCUGGGGAUUGUACAACUUAGGAACUCAUCCCUCAGAUUGAGUCACUAGUGUUAACACUGAGCUUCAAGAUCUGUUUCAGCAAUCACUAGACUACACCUACAAACCUACUCAUUACAGCUGACGGCACACACUAUUUUCACCUUGCCAACAUGCAUGUGCUGAUGAAAUAACCUCUCUGUAUAUGUUACUUCUUGGGCUAAUGGUUUGGUUGUCACUUUCACCAAUAGCAUACCCACUGGGCUCUAUUUCAUGACCACUGGCCCUCUGCAUCCGUCUCCACGUCCAACUGAGCCAAAGGAUGUAUUGAAAGCUUCCUCAUUGGCGACCUCUUUCAUGGAAGGCCGUCGCACAUAUCUAGGCAUUUCUUAGCCAGGUCCGCAAUUCCUCUCAACAAUGCCAUGCUUUCAUGGCCUUUCACGUGAUUGUUCUCUUUUGUAGCGGAUAGGAUAGGAAAAUAAUCCUUUUGUCAGUUAACUUGCAUGUAUUCAGGAUCAAGAUAUCCACAAGUACCCUGAACCAUAGAGACAAACUGCUCUUUGUCAGUUGGGGCUAGUAUGGAGGCUCCAUGUAGUUAUCAUCAAGAAGGAUGUUGGAAGUUUUCACACUGCCAUGAAUAAUUGUGGGAGAUGCAUAGGAAUGCAGGAAUCUGAGUCUGUUCGUUUGCUUUCAUGACCAAUUCUUAAGAGGGUCCUGAAGGAGAUUUGCAGCGCUUGGUUCUUGACAUGAUGAAUAAGCUCAAAUAGGAUGAUUCCACUUUGAACGAACUCAUAUCAUAUACUCCCUCCGUCCGGAAAUACUUGUCGGAGAAAUGGAUGUAUCUAGACGCAUUUUAGUUCUAGAUACAUCCAUUUUUUACCCUUAUCCAUUUCUUCGACAAGUAUUUCCGGACGGAGUGAGUACUAGAAUUAGGAACUUCCACCUCAAGGCAGCAACCCAACAAUAUUCUUGUGAUUGAAUUGGGACAAAAUGAGCAUCUCUCGACAACUAAUCCACAUCUUUUAAUUGCAAAACAUGCAUGUUACUAUGUGUUAUCCCUUUAUAGACNNNNNNNNNNNNNNNNNNNNNNNNNNNNNNNNNNNNNNNNNNNNNNNNNNNNNNNNNNNNNNNNNNNNNNNNNNNNNNNNNNNNNNNNNNNNNNNNNNNNNNNNNNNNNNNNNNNNNNNNNNNNNNNNNNNNNNNNNNNNNNNNNNNNNNNNNNNNNNNNNNNNNNNNNNNNNNNNNNNNNNNNNNNNNNNNNNNNNNNNNNNNNNNNNNNNNNNNNNNNNNNNNNNNNNNNNNNNNNNNNNNNNNNNNNNNNNNNNNNNNNNNNNNNNNNNNNGUCAAAGUUGUUGGUUGCAUGUAUGAGUUCAACUUCUGAAAAUACACUGAAAGAAAAGACCUUUCUCUAGUUUCAUCCUAUCAAACAAAAGCACGCCUCCGUGUUGACGAAAAUACUCCUUCUUAACUUUGUUCAAUCUUGUCUUUUGGACUAUCAUUUGUCCCCAUAUUAGAAUGAUCAUGACUAUAACCAUUACACCAAACAAUCCCAUUGUAAUUCCUAUUCGAGGGUUUAAUGGUGACGACUACGGCUCCAGGGCGUUGGUCCUUCCGGCCACCUGCACGAAGACUUUUCGGUUGUCAUCGACAAGGUCAAACUGACUUCGGUAGGGGAGCAGCGACAGCGGCAUGUCGACGAUUCGUUCUAGCGACAGCAGUGGUUGUUCGAUGGUCCGAAAACCUCGAUGUAAUUUUUGUUAUGUUUGAGGUGCUUUGUAGUUUUGAUGAACUUUUAUAAUAUAUAUCUAAAUCUUUAAGAAAAAUAAACUUUGUGAUUGCCAUUGGUUUCGCUUUGCCUCAACGGUAUCUAGAGUUUCUAGUUUUCUAUUUUAGGAGGAGCUGUAUUUAUACACCUAUGUUUUGUGGCCAUAUUUCGUCAUUUCGAAGUUUCGUGCCUAAAUCGAGCACUAAACAGACUCAUAUGAUCACCUCUCAAGCCUCCAAUCAGGAGCGACACGGGAGCCGAUAGGAACAACCGUUUUAGUGCUAUGGCAUCGAUGGACAUCGACGGCAGAAUGUGUGUCAUUAAGCAUCUUCAAGGGCAAAUGUCAAAUUUUAGCUCCCGUAUGUCCGCAGACAUAUGUCUGGAUAACGAUGCAUUGAGCCUUAAAGAGGGCGAGUGACAAAUUUUAUCCCUCAUAUGUUUGCGGACUUGUCUAUGGAUAGCAAAGAUUUGUGCAACAUUUCAAAUUGUUCAGCUGCAUGCAUAUGAUUGGGUGGAGGGGUACGGGUCAGGAUUUUCGAUAUGGGUAUGUCGAGUGUUCUUAAUUAUUAUUUUUUGCGCAAAGAUGUAAGACAUAAAAAGUUCAAGGCAAAACUACGAAUUGUUUUUUGUAGCAAUAUCUCCAAUAAUUUAGCUACAUAGAAAGAACAGGGAGAAUUAUAAUAUAACUCUAUGAUCACCCCUUUUGAAAGAGAAAUGUACUUGCACGAAUAUUAUUCUUUUUGUGGGGUUACAUGCACGAAUAAAUUAGCCUAGCUAAAAAAAUUAACCAAGCAAUUAUUUACCUAUUGUUCUCCAAAUCAAAUACUCCCUCCGUUCCAAAAUAAGCAUCUUAACCUUAAUAAAAAAAAGUUAGUAUAAAGUUGAGACACUUAUUUUGGGACGGAGGGAGUACAAAGUAAGGAAUGAAAAUAAUAAUCUGUUAUCACUGAUCACAAACAAACGAUGCGCGGAACUGUUGGCAACUUGCCUCCCAGAUGAGCCAUGGCAGAUGCGCCAUGUCAUUAACACACGGACACGCCUCGUAUCCAGCCGCCGCCUCCAACGUAGCCAGCCGCCGCCUCCCCAAAACUAGGGUUCUUUGCCUCCCACCGGCGCCGGUGCCGGUCCGUCCCGUCUCCGGUGGCCUUAGGGCCAUGGAGGCGGAGUGGAUCUCGGCCCUUGCCGGUGGGAGGGUUCCGCUUUCAUAUUUUUUUUCGAGCUUUGUUAGGGUUUAUGUCCUGUUCAGGAAGGCGAGACGGCGGCGUCUUUCUGAAGAUGGAAUAAAGGUCUACCCGUCUAGUCCCCGUUCCGGUGAUGUGUGUAGCAUCAUCGGUGGGCGUGUGGAGGUGUGUCUCCGGCGGAUCUGUCUUUGGUGGAUUUGCUCAGAUCUGUUCGUCGUUCGUCUUCGUUCGUGUGUCUUCAGGUUGGAUCCUUUUGAUCUACACUCUUCAUCUGCGGCGGUUGCUGUUCUGGUGCGUUGGUUCCAUGGGGCCUUAGCACGACGACUUCCCGACUGUCUACUACAACAAUGUUUGCCCGGCUCUGUCGAGGGAGGGGCGAUGACAGCGGCGCGCCUUCGGCUCGCUUCAGUGCUUAUAGUCGUCGCUAGGUGGUCUACGGUUCUGGAUGUAAUUUUUAUUAUUCCUAGUGUCCGUUGUACUACCAUGAUUGAAGAUGAAUAGAUUGAAAGUUUUUUCAAAAAAAAAAAGAUGCGCCAUGUCAUUGCCGAGUGCUUACUGCUGAGAAUGAUGUAGUGGUUGCUUCCGAUGAUGAUGCGGGCAUGCGCGACGCGAGUACUAUAUCUCGCUUACAGCGAGAAUAUCAUUCGCCUCGCCUGAAUGGUCCGCGCAUAAGGGUGGGCCCGUUAGCGCGAUUGCUGAGUCGCUUGUUCUACGUACUGGUUUCAUCCAUCUUUAUCUCUUUCAUUUAUUUAAUAUUUCUUUGAUUUUUCUUUUUUCCUUCACCAGUUUUAUGUUUUUUCCUCGUUUUCUUCAUUUCUUUUACUACACAUUUUCACUUCUCUUUCUUUCUUUUUCUUUUUUUUUAAUUUUCUGUUUUACUUUGUUUCUUUGUGUUUCUUUUUUAGCUUUAUACAUUUUUCAAACACAUGAUUAAUAUUUUUGACAACUUAUAUUUUAUAAUGUCUAUUUUUCCAUACNNNNNNNNNNNNNNNNNNNNNNNNNNNNNNNNNNNNNNNNNNNNNNNNNNNNNNNNNNNNNNNNNNNNNNNNNNNNNNNNNNNNNNNNNNNNNNNNNNNNNNNNNNNNNNNNNNNNNNNNNNNNNNNNNNNNNNNNNNNNNNNNNNNNNNNNNNNNNNNNNNNNNNNNNNNNNNNNNNNNNNNNNUUUCCAUACACACUGUACAUUUUUUGUAUACACCAAGAAAAUUAUUUAUAUGCAUGUUUAUCAUUUUCAAAAUACAAGAUUAAUAUUUUCUUAAACAUAUAUGUUUAUGUCUACUUUUUCCAUAAACACUGUACAUCUCUUCUACACAUCAGAAAUAUUUUUUCAAAGGCAUGAUUAACAUUUUCAAACAAAUAUAUUUUUUAUGUCUAUUUUUCCCAUACAAAUUGUACAUAUUUUGUAUACACCGUGAACACUUUUUAUAUAGAUGAUUAAUAUUGUCCAAAUACAUUUUAAAAACUUUUUUAUACAUGUUUUAUGUUUUAUAUUUUUUGAUGGCUACAAUUCUCAUACAGAUUGUAUAUUUUGUAUACAUAUUCAUAUACAUUGGAAACAUUUUUCAAUACAGAUCUAACAUUUUUUAAAUGCACGAUUCACAUUUUAGAAAAAAAUAAAUCUUAUAUUUUUAAUCCUAAUUGUUUUUUCAUACACAUUGUGCAUUUUCUGUAUAACUAGGUUGCCAUAUAACUAUUAAAGAAGUCUCGUUGUCGUAUGCUAUAUAAAGGCAUAUUGGAGCNNNNNNNNNNNNNNNNNNNNNNNNNNNNNNNNNNNNNNNNNNNNNNNNNNNNNNNNNNNNNNNNNNNNNNNNNNNNNNNNNNNNNNNNNNNNNNNNNNNNNNNNNNNNNNNNNNNNNNNNNNNNNNNNNNNNNNNNNNNNNNNNNNNNNNNNNNNNNNNNNNNNNNNNNNNNNNNNNNNNNNNNNNNNNNNNNNNNNNNNNNNNNNNNNNNNNNNNNNNNNNNNNNNNNNNNNNNNNNNNNNNNNNNNNNNNNNNNNNNNNNNNNNNNNNNNNNNNNNNNNNNNNNNNNNNNNNNNNNNNNNNNNNNNNNNNNNNNNNNNNNNNNNNNNNNNNNNNNNNNNNNNNNNNNNNNNNNNNNNNNNNNNNNNNNNNNNNNNNNNNNNNNNNNNNNNNNNNNNNNNNNNNNNNNNNNNNNNNNNNNNNNNNNNNNNNNNNNNNCGUUUCUCCUUCCGGGAAGUUUGAACUGCCCGGACAUAUAGGGCAGGUUUGAAGAGAUCUGUGCACAAUGUUUUUUUUGGGGCGGGGGAGGGGGGGGGUCUGAGCUGUGUCUGGAUAGUCCGCUUGGACAUACCAAGAGGUUUGAGGAGUGUCUUUAGACAUGGUCUAUUAUCUUUUACAAUGGAGAUGUUCUAAUAGCUAGUUCCUGGCAUUUGUAUUUACUAGCAAAAGGGCCUGCUGUGUGUAGCAGUUGAAGAAAAAAAAUCAUAAUCUUCAAUGGCUAUGACCACAUUUUGCAGAAUCACUGAGAUACGCUAUCACUCUCUUUCUCAUUGCCUAUGCCAGCUCAGUGGGACGAUUCCCAAACGUAUUUUUCCAGCCGCUACCGUGUGAGCUGGACCAGGCGGGGGGAUUCCCUAGUCUAAAACUUAUUUUUUUUUCAACCGCUGCUGCGUGGGGGUUACCUAUAUGGCUCGUAGCGACCUAGCAUGUACCCCCUCCUACUUUCAAUCCUGCUUUUGGCAGGCCCAUUCUUGGAUUUCUUCCUCAUCGGUUUUGGCAAGGUUCUAAACCUUCCCAAAACCCGCUUUUUCGUUUUUUCUUCUUUUUCGUCUUCCUUUUCUGUUUUUUCUUUUUCUUUCUUUUCUUUUUUCUAAACAUCUCUUUUCAAAAUUUUGAAUAUUUUCGUGAAAUCAUGAAUGAUUUUUGAAAAUCUUAAAAAAAUAAAGCUCUUGAACAUAUUUGAAAUUGUGAACUUUUUUUAUGAAUUUGUUAACAGUUUUUAAAAUAAUGAACAUUUUUUGAAUUCAUCAAUAUUUUAUACUAUUUGCAAACAUUUUUCUUAAAACUGUUAACAUUUUUAAAAAAUAUUUUUUAUGAAUCAGUGAUAAUUCUUUUAAUUGGUGGAACAAUUUUGAAAUUCAUGAAGAUUUUUUCUGAUUUAACAAAUAUUUUAUGAAAAGCAUGAUAUUUUUUUGAAUUGGUGAAUAUUUUCCAAAUCAGUAAACUAUUUGUAAUUCACGGCCAAUUUUGAAAUUUUAGGAAAAAUUUCAAAAUUUGUGAUUUUUUCAAUUGUCGAAUAUUUUUUAAAAUUUCAAUAAAAAUAUUAACUGUUUUCUAAAAUUAUGAGCAUUUCUUAUUUACUAGGCAUUAUUUUUCAAAACUGUUAUUAUUUUGAAUGCGCAAACAUUUUAUGAUUUAUUGAGUACUUAAUCUAAAAAUUCUCAUCUUUUUAAAAUUUCUUAACUUUUUGAAGUCCCAAUUUAUUUGAAGUAGGGAAAAACAAAAACGCAAAAGAAAAUGAAAAAACUAAAAGAAAAAACCAAAAGAGAAAACCAAAUUAAAAAAAUAGACGGCUAUUUCGGAACUUUUUUUAAGUCCCAAUUUCGGAACUUUGGGGGCAAUUUCGUGAUCGAUGGGCAGAAGCACUAAUCCUUUAUUUGUAGAUAUAUAGAUUUAGUUUUUGUCCGUUGAGUUUUUUUUGGGCAGGCCAUCUCCUAACCUCUCUCUGUUUUUUUUACUCCGCGUAUUAGUUUUGGUCGAAGUCAAGCUUUGUAAACUUUGACAAAAUUUAGAGACAAAAAUAUUAACAUAUACAAUAACAAAUCAAUACCAUCCGAUUCAUUAUUGAAUUUACUUUCACAUCAUAUGGAUAUGUUAUGAUAAUGUUUAUAUUAUUUUCUCUAAACUUGGUCAAACUUUGCAAAGUUUGACUUCGCUCAAAUCUAAUAUGCAGGCUAAAUAGAAACGGAGGGAGCACAUAUUUUAAAAGUUGUCUUAUGGUGAAAAUAAAAGAAAAAAAUAUAAAUCCUCUCUAUACGUAGUCACUUACAACAAACUGCAAUUUCCGAGCUCCAAGUGUGACACAUGAAUUAUCUAAACCGGAUGCAUAAUGUACUGUUUUUGCAGUGAAAAUUCUAGCUUCAAAUCAACUUGCUGAACUGGAUCGGCAUCAAAAGGCUCGUCCCACAUGGCAUUCGGCAUCAUGGCAUUUUGCCGAUCACCUUGUGAUGAAAGCAGUGAAAUCAUCUAGGCGCGGACGGCAUCCCCGAGCACCCUGGCCCCUCGCCUCACGGCCAUGCCUUUGUCGGAGAGCAUGGCCUCCUCGAUCACUUCCUGGAUGGCCUUCGCCGUGCUUCUCCCAUGGACGCACGAGGAUGCCGGCCUUGAGGUAGUUGCAGACCAGCUCGGGCGUCCCACGGCUGGUCGCAGUGCAUGGGCCAGGCGAGAAUCGGCCGGCCGUGGCUCAGGCUCUCCAUGGUCGAGUUCCAGCCGCAGUGGCUCAUGAACGCCGCCGUCGCGCUGUGCGCUAGGAUCUCCAUCUGCGGUGCCCACCCGGUGAUCACCAGCCCCGUCCCUCGGGUGUGCCUGGUGAACUCCGACAGCGUCUUCUCGUGCGCCGGCCUCCGCGUAUAUGUCGCCGCGGUCGGCGUCGCGCAGCAUCCAGAUGAAGCGUUGUCUGCUGCCGCGAGCUCCUCGAUCUGCUCCGCUCGCAGAGACGGCGUGGUGCCGAAGGACACGUAGAGCACGGACGCCGGGGGCUGCUCGUCGAGCCAGUUCACGCACUCGUAGAGCACGUACAACGUCGAUGGAGUCACCCUCGAGAGCGCGGCACGUGUUUGCCAGGACGCCGGCGCCAGGCGAGAUCUGUUUGGACGGCCUGGCCCGGCCGGCGAACUGCGCGAACUCCUUGGUCGCGCAGUGCUCGACGGCGCGGAAGGCCAGGCCAGUCUCACGCGGCAGCCGGUGGCCGGCGUCCAUUCUUCCGACGAGCAUCGGGAGGGCCAGGCAGUGCAGCCCGAACGCCUCGGUGUUGGGCAGCCGCGCCGCGAGCCAGGUCGCGCAUCGGCAGUUGCAGCAUCUAGUUGAGGUGGCCCUGCGCCGGGAACGGCACCGCCACGACGGCCACAGAAUCCAUCACCGCUCUGCGCUGCUGAGUGGCCUUCCGAUGAGGCUGGCUAUGGCAGGUUAUAUGAAGCAGGCGGCGGUGAACAAACCACAAGCCAACGCAGACGCAGGGGAGCAGGUCAGAGCGGGCCAUUUAUUUAUUUUUCUCAUGAUUUUUUUUUGAGAAAAUAUUUUCUCAUGAUAGUUAGGGCCAUCUACAAUCACCGGACCCCACAUGUCGGCCCCAAACGUCCGGCUGGGCUACCUGGUCAUUGCCCGCACACACAUUUAGCACCCAACCGGACACCCCACAUCUGGCCCAUAUGCCUCGGCCUGACCGGCACUUCCAAUACCCGACCUAUAUCUGGGACGAAUAUGGGACGCCCGGACAUGGGAGCCAUGUCGAACUGACCGCAAGGGCCCAUGCGGGUACACAAAGUGAUUGUUGGUCCAACGGGCGCCCCCUUUGCUCCGCGCCGCAUGACGCAGCUCUGGCGUGUCGCCCGUGGGAGCAAGUCCGUCUUAAGCCGAACAGUGGAAGCCGAACCCUAGCCGUCCCUAUUCCUUCCAUCUGAUCCUACCUGUGCCGCCAGCUUUCAUCUGCUCUUUGCCGUAGCCGCGAUACGGGCACGCGCUGCUCUUGUUGCAGCUGGUCUGCCUCCAAAUUCGCCGAAGCAGGAGGAGGAAGAGGAGGAGGAGGCAACAGCAACUGGAGGCGGAGCAGGAUCCCCAGUCCAUGGACGUGGCGGAUCCGAAGGAGGAGGACGUGGCGGAUCCGAAGGAGGAAGCAGAACCGGUUGCUUCCUUCGCCAUGGAGGACACCACGAUGAAGUUUGAGGUUGGCCACGCGGAGGAGAUAGGAAAGCAAACCGCCAUCCUUAAGUCCACGCAGGACAAGGCCUAUGUGAAGGCCAAUUGGCGCUUAAUUCGCAGCAGGGGUGGAGAUGGACAAGCUCUUCACCUCUAGUUUGUCCGACGACCAGCCAGGACUACCACAGUUGCUUAAUUAUCUAUCCGGAGCCGGGCAUGGAGAUCGUGAUCAUCUCCGACGAUGAGUAAGUAAUACUCCUACUGGGUUUUUAAUCUGCAUGGUUUGUAUGAAUUUAAGGUAUGAAGUUCAAAGCACAUGAAUGCAGCGGACGAUUUUUAUGUGUUUUCCAGUCACUGUCUGUCCGCACACAUGCCAGGCCGCGUCCACGGGUGUUUAGGGGCGGAUUUUUGAUAGUUGUAGAUGCGCACCAAGUCCAUCUCCGAGGAAAUGCUUAUCGUCAUGACCCGAUAUUUCUGGAGACUAAACAACAACAUCCGUAGUGCAAAAGUAUGUUAAUAAUGAAAUCGAAACUCAUUGAGCCUCUAUCAAAUUGCUUUUGCAUACUCUAGCCAGCUCCGGGACAUUACUACCGCCUACUGUAGACAUCAUCCUUGGUUCCUUGGAAGGAAGAAAAAAAGAAGGAAGAAGAAGAAGGAAAGGGAGAGAGACUCUCAUGUGACGUCUAAUUCGUUUGAGCAGUCAAGUUUGACGGCUCAAUUAGCGACGCACCUUUUUCUUUUGGUUCUCAAAUUUGAGGAAUUAAUAAGGUUUGAGGAGGCAUUAUGAGAGUUAAAAUUUAUGAGUUUGGUUAGAGAUGCCCUUAGAAGAGGCAACUCUCCUCGUUAAAAUAAAUAAAUAAAAUUGGUGGUAAAUAAAAAAACUCCUAUGUAGGAGGUUUUGUGUGUCAGUUUGCCGUUUAAUCGCACAAGCACCCUUUGAAUGGGCUGACCCAUCAAAACGGUAGACAGCGGGCAUUUUUUUCUCUAGGAGUUUAUUUUGGCUUUCAGUUGGUUUCCCGCCUGAUUUUCUUGUUUUAAAAGUUCGUGAAUUUUUUCGAAAAAAUGAAAUUAUUUUUUGAACUUUGCAUUUUAAAAAUCCAAAGAUCUUGAGAAAUUUGAAACUUUUUUGAAUGCAAACAUUCUUUCAAAUUUUUUAUAUUUUAAAAAAUGCAAACCUUUUUGAAAUUGUGUUUUUAAUUGAAUAUUUUUUUAAAGAAAAGUUUUUUUCUAAUUUUGACCUUUAUUUAAAAACCAUUAGCGGGCUAUGCUAAAUAGCGACGUUCCUCCAAAUCAGGUAUAACUCCGCUAUAGCAGGCUCUUUUAGAACUUUUUCCGACAAUUGUACAUGAAUUCCAUAGCGGGUUGUUUAGUGGCACUCUGCUCAAACUGCUAUAGUAGAGCUAUAGUUGUUUAUUUAAAACUCUGUUAAAAACUUAAACAUUUUUAAAAAUUAUGAACCAUUUUUUAGUUUUCUUAAUUCCGAGCAAAAUUUGAAUUCCAAUGAAUUUUAAACUUUGAACAUUUUUGGAAUUUCAAUAUAUCACGAUCCCAAGACUGAAAAUCCACAUGCACCUGCCAUCUUGGCCUUCUCACAAGUUGUCUUCACAAUUUCCACAACAGUUUCUUCACUGAGCCAUCGAGCUUCAAUUGUUUGACACGGUCCUCCGGACAACUAAACAUAUUUAAAUUCUCUACAUUUUGUGAGCAUUGCAAGUUCAAUAACCAUAUGAACUUCAGUUGCGUAUUUCAUCCUCACCCAAUUGUAGUGACAUAUACAAUCAUGAUGAUUAUCUCUUUGAUUAUGUUGAAUCGAUUGAGGAGUUAUUCUUUAGAAUCUCUCAACGUAUGACAAGGGUGUAGGAGGUUGCUCCAUAUUAGCAGAAGUCUCUAAACUUAUGAGCUUGCUAGAGAGCAUCUAUGACUAUUGCACCACUAACAAUUUUCAUAAAAGUCUUUCACUCAUGGAAUCCUAUAUACCUAACUAGUUCAUCCUCACUACCUCUAUUUUCUUAACAUGGACACAUGCCACUUCAUCAAAGGUCCACCAUAACAUGCAGGAGAAACAGUUAUCCAUUAUUAGUUGAUCUCAUGCACACAUCUCACCUCACCAAAGGUCCACUCAACAUGCAAAGAAAAAAGUUUUCCCUUAUAUUAUACCACUUAUAUUCAAAUUAUUUUUGACUAUUCAAUAAUCAAACACAAAAUACACCACUUAUAUUCAAAAUAUUUUUUGACUAUACAAUAACAAAAUACAAAAUAUAAUAUGUAUUUUUAGAUUUAGUUCAUACAUUGUUAAAUCAACUAUUCAUGUUGCAUACAAUCAAAUGACUCGAAAUAUACUGCAAUCGAUUCCCGCUGCAAUGCGCGGGGUAUUAUCUAGUAUGGAAGCAGUUCGCCACGAGCUCCCAAGCCUCUCAAUUGCAGGAACAUAACCUAAUGAAAGAAUCCAAGGAAAUACUCUAGCAAUUGGAGAAAAAUGAACAUAACCUAAUGAAAGAAUCCAAGGAAAUACUCUAGCGAUUGGAGAAAAAUACACUGGAAGCUACUUUCGAAGAAGUAUGUCUAGAAGUUGAGAAGAUGAAAAAGGAACAUGGAGAUGAAAGAUGGAAUGGCCAUUGUCCGACAACUCUUACUGAUCAUUGACAUUUUCAUAGUCGUUCUGAGUAAAUCGCCUUACACACUACUAUCAUAUUACAUUACAUGACUAAAGACAUGUUCUUUAUUGCCAUUUGCCAUGCAUGAUCAGAGUAUGGCUAGCAUGAUAUUUUUAUGACUUGUCUGUUUUUAUGUCUAUGAUACGCCAGAUCAUUGACAUCCUGGUACACUACCAGAAGCAUUCAUAUGUAGUUCCUUUCAUGUUUUGAGUUUGAGUUAUGAUUGCAUUCAGUUGAAGUGUGUCAAUAGAAAGUAUAUUGUUCAUAUUUGUAAGAUGUUGCUUCUACCCAAAAAGAGAGAGACCAGAUAAAAGAUGCACCACGGAGGUUCCACAAAAAGAAAAGAAAAAAGAAAAAAUGUGAGGAAGAAAGAUGGAGAACACAAUCAUACAUUUUAGUAUACACGAAGUUCUUCAAAGUAGCACCACUUCACGGACUGUAGCAUGGAAAAUUACCAUGAGCUUUAUGUUUGAUAUUAGUGGGGAACAUACGUUAUCGAAUUUGGCAUGUAUAUUCCGAUGACGAGCAUUCUCAGAACGUUGAGGUCGCAAGCAAGUAAGAUACACCCCCACUUAGUCCAUAUAGGAGAGGUUUCACAUAUUCAUAGCUCUGUAUGCAUCCUAGUUGCAUGGCGAUCCCUACUUCGUGCGUUAAAUCAAUUAUAAGGCCUUCUUCGUGCCUAACGUCAAAUGCUUUGAUGCAUGACUUUCUAUGUUUUUGAGUUCUCAAACCCCAAUCAUUAUUUUAGUUUUCCUUUAAGUGUGAGGUAUAAGCUUGCGCUCAGCUCUGCAUAGCUAGUUGAGCGGUUGACUAUAAGAAAUACAAACGAUCUUAGUGUUGUACCUAAUAUGCCUCGGGUUGGUGUUUUUGAAGCGAUCGCUGAUGCAUAAUUUCUUUUGUCUAUGACAAACAUUGCUUUGUUCUGGACGUAAUUUUGACAUUCUCUCUAAACCUUUGGUAAUGAUAAUUUGGACUUCAAGGAAAUAUUUCCUCUUUUUGGCCUCCAUGCCAAUGGAACUAAGAGGAUUGCAUGUAUUACUCCCUUACUAGUUAACUUUUGCAUGCUCUCAUGAAGAAUAUGGAUACACUUAUGGACUUAAUUUGGUUUUAGUGUAAGCUUUAGAGUUGGCAACAAUGAGCUUAGAUAGUGAACCUGCUUGCUCGAGGACAAGCAAGGUUUAAGCACAGAGAUUCUGAUGGCUCUAUAUUUCUACGCAUUUUUAGAUCUCAUUUGUUGCAUAUUAUCUGUAUAUAUCAUGUCACAAUGAAAUAAAUACAUGUCCAUUAUGCAUAUUUUUCGGUUUUCUCUUUUUUGUGAGCAUUGCAUAGUUUGUAAGGUUCCUUUGUUUCGUUGUGUCUACAGGUGUUUUGGAGCAACCUAGGACCAAGCACGAUGAAAAGGGAAAGGAUGGAUUUAAUAUGGAGGACUUCUAGGCACCAUACUUAGGCAUUUGGAAUGUCCAAAAUGGAAUAUUUUUGAAGUACUCAAAAUCAAAAUCCAAACACCAUAGGUGCAUUGGCACCGUUAAUACGAUUCUAACGAGCCCAAGAACGGCAAAAUCCGAGUUUGUAUGAAGAAAUGAUGAUCGUUUUAUCGGAGGAUUCCACAGUGUUCGACGGCGCAUGGGACAAGCGCGCCACUCGUACCACCGCUCGUGCCACACCCAGACAGGCUUGGAAAUGGUCCGAUCGGACGGGAUACUUCACUCAAUUUCAUCCCCGUUUGUUCCUUGUUGAUCCUAAUAAAGAUGGUUUUGGUAGAGGAUUUGACUCAUAUAGAGCCCUUGGAUCAAAGGAGAAAAACUACAUCUACGAAGGAGGCUUUGGGAGAGCCCUUAUAUAUAUAUACACCUUCAAUCCUAGCCGCCGUCAUCAUCUGCAUCAUGCGUCAUUCAUUUAAGAUCAAUCACAUCCCCAUUGCUGCUCCAAGACCACCUCCAUAGAUAUAAGUAGGGCCAAGACAAGAGGAGGCGCCACCACCACGUCGCACCGACCUUUGGGCUAGUGCUAUCUCCACCGCCGGCGUCGCCACCAUCAUCACCACCGUCGCGAUGCUCCUCUCCUCCACCGACUCCAUGUUGGUUUGUAACACACAUGUCCUCUGUAUGUCAUCGCUUCGUAUGUUUCAGUAGUUGUACUCAUUCUUGAGGAUUUGGGUGAACCCUUACAUGAUUAGCACUUCACUUCACAUAUCACAAAAAGUGCAACAACUACAUGUGCUCUUGCAGGACAUUAGGACAUGCAGCAACGGGGCCCUGUAUUGGAGGCUGGCCCCUCACGGGUGAUCGAGCUUGAUGGUAUGGGCGAGGUGAAGAACGAGGACGACGAGUCAGGCUCUGACACUGACUGGGACAAUCUCUGGGUAGUUCUCUCGGUUGAAGUAUGUUUGUAUUCAAACUAUGUUUAAAUUUGGACUCAAAUUUGCAAUGGUUUCGCUGUUCUUGUACCCAAUAUAGGGCAGCUGUUAUAGCAUUUUGGUGCCCUAUUAUAGGGCUGCUGUUGGAGCAAAAAUAAAUAAAUCCGGUGAUGCAAAAUUCGAUGUGCUAAGUUGGUGUGGUGUUCCUCUUCCUCUAAAAGACACAACCGUGUGCUUCUCCAAGUAAAGCUCAUCUGACUGAGGUCAAAAUUGGAGCAUUUUGUCGAUUUGCACAAAUUCAGAGUAACCAAUCUGAAAUCCAUCAGCACCAACAUGUUUGAUUGACGACGAGCCUAAUGGACAUAACAACACAGGCAUGCAUAUUCUAGUUUGAAUUCACAUGUUAUUGUAGUACCUGAUGGAAACAGAGGGCAACUGAAGUUCCUCAAGCAGGGUAGCCAGGUUACGUGCUGAACUGAGUGACCAACAGAUGAAUCGAAACUGAAACCGAUUAAGAUUGACUGCUCCAGAUUGAGACGAAACCCAGACAUCUGGACAUAAUCUUCUAGGGUCAAAAGAACAGAAGCCAAACGAAACGAAAAUCUGCGCUCUCUCGAUAGAUUUCGCUCCGCCAAUUGUGAAACUUAUUUGACCUGUCAUGGCUUCCUAUGACAGGCCCUGUUUCUCCCAAGUUCUGCAUUUCAGUGCAACGCUUACAACAUCAUGUUCUGAUGAUACUUCACAUGAUUCAUCAGUGUCAAACAAAAGCAUCCCGAUAACAUGUACUAAUGCAAAACAUGGGGCGUAUUCGCUCGAUUCAAGUGGUGGAAUGAAACCAAUGAAGCCUUUUUCAGCUGGGUGACCAAACUGUAGUUCCUUUUACGGCUAAAGGGAAUCGAAUAACUAUACACCACAGAAUAAAUACUCGAUUCAUGAGAUCCUGCAAUUCGGAAAACAGAGACAAUUGCACCCCAUAACCAAAAUGACAUUCUUAUAGCAGGAUAACAAGAAUAGCUUUCAAUCGAGCAGAUUGGAUAAGCAUGAUCGCCAGAGAUCAAAACUGAAAGCGUGAAACCACUGGGCUGAACAAAAGAAUCGAAACUGAACAGAGUGUGCGCACGCUCAGAUUUUUGUCGGACUCUGAAUGUGUCAUCUUUCAUGUUUGCACUUCAGUGCAAUGCUUACAAUCAAGAUGCUCCUACUAUUCAGCAUGAUUUCACAUGAAUCUUUGUGACAAUUGUGUUUGAUUUGUAUUGACACAUCUGAAAACAUGAUCAUGCUAUUCAAAACUUGGCCAGUAUUUCUGCCACUCAAGAAAACAGGAGCUCCUUUUUUUUGGCAAGAUAAACUGAAACACUGAAUAAGGAAAGAGUGAUGAAAAUUCGAAAAGCAGAUACGAUUACGCCCCAUGACCAAAAAGAAGAACAAAUUCUUCAAGCAGGAUCAACCAGAUCGAAACAGGACUGAUCAACAGAGGAAUCGAAACUGAAGCCAAGAAUAGCUUUCAAUCGAGAAGAUUCAGGAAACAGGGGCAAUUGUUUGAACAAAUUCCUGAAGCUGUAUAGCAAGAUUAGCUUUCAACCGAGAAGAUUGUAUAUAAGCAGGAUCAUCAUUCACCUCGCCGAGAUCAAAACUGGACUGAUCAACAUACUACAUAGGAAUCGAAACUGAAACCAAUGUGCUGAUCAACUAAGAUUAACUCCGACAUCUGUACGUUAGUUCUCACUGCCGAUUUGGGCGCUGCAAAAACUCGAGUCAAGACGAGCAAAAGAACUGAAAGGAAAAGAAAUUCUAGGCACCAUCAGGCCUCUGCCAUCUUGAUCGAUCGGCCCAUGGAGUGAUGAGCAGCCGUCAGCAAGCACGGCGUUUCUUGGCUUCGCCGGGGUACGCGAAGCUUGCUCUUGGGGGGGCGAUUCUUGGAAUUGGCCGGUGUCGACUCGGCUCAGGGCGCUUGUUGUUGGGGCCUCUGGCUCUGGGCGGCCUUGGCGGUGGCGGGGGCGGCGGAGGGACGGUGGCUGGGCGCGACGCGGACGUCGGUGACGGGGACGCGGACGAUCUUGCCGGCGAACAUGGCGUGGAGGUCGGCGGCGUACUUGACGCUGCAGUGGUAGGCGUCGGAGGAGGAGACGACCCGGGCCGGCAGCCAGAUGAGGAGGCAGCACCUGCCGGUCCCGUCGGCGAUCACCACGUAGUAGCGCGUGCGCACGUACACGGCCGUCCCGCACGCCAGCCGCCGCGCCGGGUGCACGCUCUCGGCCGCGCGGCCCGGGGCCGCCUCCGCCUCUGCCGCCGGGCGCUGCGCCGUCUUCUUGGGCGGCCCGGCGGCCCUCGCCGCCGACGAGGCCGACGGCGGGGGCUGCGGCGGCCGCGGCCUGGGCGCGGUGGAAGGCACCGGGCGAGGGGGGACCUUCUUGGAGAGCGCGGGGAGGCAGGGCGCGGAGGCCGGGCGGGCGAUCUUCUUGGUCGGCGGCGGGGAGAGGGAGGUGGUGGGGGGCAAAGACGGCCUCUUUACGCCGCCGGCGGGCGCGGCCGAGGCGGAGGAGGGCCGGGCGCUGCCGGCGGGGAACUGCGGCGGCAUUGCUCGGUCGGUGGAUCGAUCGAUUCCGCUUCUAGGCUAGGGUUUAGGGGCGGCGGAUCGAUUGGGGUCGACGGCGGGGGGUUUGGGGAUUGGAUAUAGUGGCGGCGUUGGAUUGUGUUUCCAACACGAGUACUAGUGCUCUCCGUUUCGCCGUUUUCAGGGCCCGAUGGGUCACGUGCUGCCCGUGUGUGCACGCCAAAAGGUUUGAACGCUAGUGGCCUCGAAACGGAGCAUUGAGGGGAAGCCCGAUGAGCCGUCGGAUCGCGAUCCGAUGGCCCACGCCCCACUUCCUGUCGAGAUUGCACACGCCUCCUCGCCGGGAGGGGAAAGAAACGCUUGCGAGCCGUGUCUCCGUUACAUUCCCCGCGCCUCCUCGCCGGGAGGGGAAAGAAAUGCGUGCGAGCCGCGUCUCCGUUACAUUCCCCAUUAUGGUAUGUCAGCGGCUCGGGGAUACCGAGCAUCGUCUAAAAGAGGCAUGUUGUUACUGUUUUCAUCUGGUUUCCUAAAGAGCAUGAGUAAGCACGGGAAGCCCAACUGGCGGCUGCUGAGCUAUCGGAUCGUAAUCCGGUGGCCUACGCACCCACUUUUUGUCGAGGUUUCUCUCGCGCCCUCGUCUGGAGGAAAAGAAACACUUGUGACCCAUAUCUCAGUUACAUUUUUGGUUGUGAUAUGUUGGUGGCUCCGGAGCCACCGAUCAUCGCCCAAAAGAGGCAUGUCAUAUCGUUGACAUCAAUUUCCUAUAGUAAACCCUUGGAAACCGUUUCAUAGUAUCGUUUAUUGUUCGUUCUUCUCUUGCUUGCAGCGCCACCCCAAAUUGCCUAUGAUGUGUCAGUGCAAGAGCGAGUCAACUCCAUGCAAACACUUAAACUUCAAGGAUGUGUUUGGUUAUCGACCAAGUUUUCACGUUUUGGCCCGUCUUGAUGCAGUGGAGCCUGUGUUAGUUGGGCCAAGGCUUGAGCCAUGCUCCGCAACUUGUUUGGAUGGUUGCACUAUAUCCGAUGGUAGUUUCAUACAUGGCGUUGGUUUGUAGCACUCGAUGUUUAAGGCUCUAAAGAUUCAAAUACCAGGCAUUUGGUUCCUCAUAGCCUAAUGUUGUGGUCACCCUCUUCUCACUUGUGGUGACCCUACUACAAAUUACACUACAUAGGCAGUAGCAAAUUAAGAGCAAUGCUAGACAUGGAUCUUUAGAGGUUGAUUAGGGAUGAUGGGCCAGGAUUAAAUUAGGGGGACAUGCCCACCAAUGAAAUUCAAGGGAGGCAAUUACAUGAGACCACAUCUCUCCCUCCGUACACUCCUUUAGAGCAUUUUCAAUAGUUGUCCUACAAUAGGGCCCAACCACUUUGUAUGGCACUUGGGGCAAAACCAGCCUCAACAGCUGCCCUAUCAUAAAAAAAAAGUGUUCAAAUUUUUGUGGGCAUCCCUAAAAUGCAGCAUUAAGUGUUGCAAAUAUACAACACUUGGACGACUGCUGCAAAACUGAGCGACCAGCCAGCAACACACAAAUCACCGGUCGUUCAUCCCCGUGCGCGACCAUACCUCCACUUGAUACGUCUCCAACAUAUCUAUAUUUUUUUAUUGUUCCAUGCUAUUAUAUUAUCAUUCUUGGAUGUUUUACAAUCAUAUUAUAUUAUUUUUUUGGUACUAACAUAUUGACAUAGUGCCCAGUGUCAGUUGCUGUUUUCUGCUUGUUUUUUACAUCGCAAGAAAUCAAUAUCAGACGGAGUCCAAAUGUAGCGAAACUUUUUGGAGAUUUUUUUUGGACUAGAAGACAUCCAGUAAGCCAGAGAAGCACCUCGGGGUGCCCUGAGGGGGGCACAACACACCAGGACGCACCCAGGUGAGUUGUGCCCACCUCGGUGGCCUCCAGCACCGCCUCUUCGCUCUAUAAAUGCCCAAAUAUUCCAAAAACCCUUGGGGAGUCGACGGAAUUUUGUUCCAGCUGCCGCCAGUUCUAGAACCCCGAGAUCCAAUCUGGAGCCCUUCUCCGGCAGUCCACCGGAGGGAGAAAUCAUCACCGGUGGCCAUCUUCAUCAUCCUGGCGGUCUCCAUGAUGAGGAGGGAGCAGUCCACCCUCGGGGCUGAGGGUUUGUACCAGUAACUAUGUGUUUAAUCUUUCUCUCUCAUGUUCUCGAGAUGUCACGAUCUUGAUGUAUCAUGGGCUUUGUUAAUAUAGUCGUAACAUAUGGUGUCCCCCCCUCUAUCUUGUUGUGAUGAAUUGAGAUUUCCCUUUGAGAUUUCGUUUUAUCGGAUUGAAUGCUUUUAUGGAUUCGAGAGCACUUGAUAUAUGUCUUGCAUAUGGAUACUCAUGGUGACAAUGGGGUAUUAUAUUGAUUCACUUGAUAUAUGUUUUGGCACUCAACUCGUGAAUUCCUGAGGUGACAUUGGGGUAAUCUAUGCAUAGGGGUUGACGCACGUUCUUGUCUUUGUUUCUCCAGUAGAAAUCUUGGGGCACUCUUUGAGGUUCUUUGUGUUGGAUUGAGUAUUACAAAUCUGAAUUCGCUUUGGUGUUAUUUUAGUACGAACUCUUGGAUAGAUCGAUCGGAAAGAAUAGCUUUGAGGUGGUUUCGUACCCUACAAACAAUUUAUUCUUAUGUUCUCCGCUAGAUAAGAACUUUGGAGUGAUUCUUCAUCGCACUUUAAGGGAUGGUUAUAUGAUCCAAUUAUAUUAGCAUUGUUGAGAGAUUGCACUAGCGAAAGUACGAACCUAGGCCUCAUUUUCAAGCAUUGCACUACCGUUUGUGCUCACUUUUGUUACUUGCUACCUUGCUGUUUUUGUUUAUUUAGAUUAUAAAAAUAUAUUUCUACUAUCCAUAUUACACUUUUAUCACCAUCUCUUUGCCGAAUUAGUGCACCUAAACAAUUUGCCAUUGUAUUGAGUAUGUGGGGGACACAAGAGAUUUCUUGUAUUUGGUUGCAGGGUUGUUUGAGAGAGACUAUCUCCAUCCUACGCCUCCCACGGAUUGAUAAACCUUAGGUCAUCCACUUGAGGGAAAAUUGCUACUGUCCUACAAAACUCUGUGCUUGGAGGCCCAACACGAGUCUAUGGGAAUAAAGUUGCGUAGUAGACAUCACCACUCCACCGGCUAGCAGCGGUGAUUUUCUGCCGCGUAGGCCAUUGCCGCCGCUCCGCCCAGCCGCUGCACUCCGCUGCUCCGAACGACCGUCGGAGCCCACGUCACUCCAUUGAUUUCAUAUCCGGUGGUGUGCUGAUUCCGACGAUUUCGGCCAACCACUGGAGUGUCGUUGCCCAUAUGGCUCUCGCAGCUCAACUAUAUCCUAUGGAGGUGGACUAGCGGCCACUAGUGCACCGUCGCUUGCCGGCCGACCCUAUGACCAAGCGGGUUGAAAACAAGCUUCGGCGCCCUGAAUGAUUUUCAUGGGCAAAAUCGCUUUUCAAGCGUCAACGGAGGUUCUUCCUAGAAAUUACCUAGGCCCGGUUGCUAUCUAGCCAUUGAUGAGACGCUGAUGACCCACAAGUAUAUGGGGUCAAUUGUAGCCUUUUCGAUAAGUAAGAGUGUCGAACCCAAUGAGGAGCAGAAGGAAAUGACAAGUAUUUUUUAGCAAAGUAAUGUCUGCAAGUGCUAAAAUUGUAAGUAGUAGAGUAGUUUGAUAGCAAGAUAAUUUGUAACGAGCAAGUAAUGAUAGUAGUAAAAAAAAGUGCAGCAAGGUGGCCCAAUCCUUUUGAGGCAAAGGACAAGCCAAAACGGUCUCUUAUGAUAAGCAAAGUGUUCUUGAGGGUACACGGGAAUUUCAUCUAGUCACUUUCAUCAUGUUGGCUUAAUUCGUGUUCGCUACUUUGAUAAUUUGGUAUGUGGGUGGACCGGUGCUUUGGUGUUGUACUUACUUGAACAAGACUUCUACUUAUGAUUAACCCCCUCGCAAGCAUCUGCAACUACGAGAAAAGUAUUAAGAAUAAAUUCUAACCAUAGCAUUAAACUUUUAGAUCCAAUCGGUCCCUUACGGAAUAGCGCAUAAUUAAACUAGGGUUUAAGCUUCUGUCACUCUCGCAACCCAUCAUCUAAUAACUACUCCACAAUGCAUUCCCUUAGGCCCAAAUAUGGCGAAGUGUCAUGUAGUUGACGUUCACAUGACACCACUAAGGGAAUCACAACAUACAUAUCAUCAAAAUAUCAAACACAUAUCAAGUUCACUUGAUUACUUGCAACAUGAUUUCUCCCGUGACCUCAAGAACAAAAGUAACUACUCACAAAUGAUAAUCAUGCUCAAGAUCAGAGGGGUAUUAAUAGCAUAAUGGAUCUGAACAUAUAAUCUUCCACCAAAUAGACCACAUAGUAAUCAACUACAAGAUGUAACCAACACUACUAGUCACCCACAAGCACCAAUCUAUAGUUCCGGUACAAAGAUUGAACACAAGAGAUGAACUAGGAUUUGAGAUGAGAUGGUGAUGUUGAAGAUGUUGAUGAAGAUAGCCCUCCCCAAGACGGGAGAGUUGUUGGUGAUGAUGAUGACGAUGAUUUCCCCCUCCGGGAGGGAAGUUCCCCCGACGGAAGCACUCCGCCGGAGGGCAAAAGUGCUCCUGCCCAGGUUCCGCCUCGAGACGGCGGCGCUUCGUCCCGAAAGUCCUCCCCUUAUUUUUUUUCUAGGUCAAAAUGACUUAUAUACCAGAAGAGGGGCACUAGAGGUGGGCCUGGGUGAGCACAACCCACCAGGGCGCGCCUGGGCUCCUUGGCGCGCCCAAAUGGGUUGUGCCCACCUGGUGGGCCCCCACUGGUACUUACUGACUCCAAAAAUUCUUAUUUAUUCCAUAAAAAUCCUCCUAAAGUUUUAGCUCAUUUGGAGUUGUGCAGAAUAUGUAGCCUGACGUAGCUUUUUCAGGUCCAGAUUUCCAGCUGCCAGAAUUCUCCCCUUUGUUGUAUACCUUGCAUAUUAUGAAAGAAAAGGCAUUAGAAUUACUCCAAAAAGCAUUAUUAUACAAUAAAACAACAUAAAUAACAAUAGGUAAACAUGAUGCAAAAUGGACAUAUCAACUCCCCCAAUCUUAGACCAUGCUUAUCCUCAAGCGAAAACCGAAAUCAAAAAACAUGUCCACAUGCUUAGAGAGAGAGAGGUGUCUAUAAAAACAAAAAUAUGGACAUAGCAGCAUCAUGUAACAUAUUAUAAUAGCAACAAACUUUAACAUAAAACUUUUAUCGUAGAACUUUUACCAUUGACUUCUCAUGAACAAGUGAAAAUUCAUCACAACAUCGAAGUAUAAAGCAUAAACCCUAUUGGAAACCAACAAACUAUGUUCUCAAUCAACUUUGCAACUACAAUUCAUCAUCUUUUUAGGAAGGGUCACUUAUCGGAGCCUUUAGGCAAGUCUACAUACUCAACCAUCAUUUAGUCUUCUAUGAUUGCUAACACUCACCGCGUACACAUGAGCAAAACGUUUCAACCGGACACAUAGAAAGAUAGGGGCUUAUAGUUUCGCCUCCCAACGUAUUCACCUCAAGGGUGAUGUCAACAAUAAUAACUCAUGCUACCCAUAUUCAACUGGAUAUAUGUGCCUAGAUCUUUCCCCACCACAUGAUGCUUGCCAAAGGAGAAAAUAAAAAGGAAUAGAGAGAAAAACUUUGACUCUUGCAUGAAAGUAAAUACAUAGAAGUAAGAUAGGCACUUCGCAGAGGGAAGCAGAGGUUGCCAUGUGCUUUUUGUUUGUAUGCUCAACCCCUUAGUGCAAGAGAACGUCACAUUAUAUUGCCCCUUAUGAUGGCAACCUUUAUUAUGCAGUCUGUCGCUUUUAUUCUUCGCCAUCACAAGUUCGUACAACGUUCAAUUUUCCCUUACACUAAAUGAUCUCACACUUUUAUAAGCAAUUUUUAUUGCCUUUUUGCACCGAUGACAACUUACUUGAAGGAUCUUACUCAAUCCAUAGGUAGGUAUGGUGGACUCUCAAACAAGAUUUGAGUUUAAGGGUUUUGGAUGCACAAGUAGUAUCUCUACUUAGUGCGGAAUUUUUGGCUAGCAAAGAUAGGGACAAGCACUACAUAUUGAAGGAUCUAUGACAAUAUAACUUCUAUGUGAAUAUGAACAAACAUAAAUCAUUACAUUGUCUUCCUUGUCCAACGUUAAUAAUUUUGGCAUAUAAUAUUUUGCUGUUGUUUGAUAGCAGUGUAUGCGUUGAGGCAUGUUGAGCUGAGACUUUGUUUGGCAGCCUGCAUGUGUUUUGACAUGUUGAACAAUUUCGAAUUCCGAAUAAUUUUUUGACUAGUGAACAAAAAAUUUAAACAUAUUUUGAAGUUCUAAUCUUUUACUAAAAUUUAAAACAAAAUUUGAAAGUCUAAACAUUUUUUAAAAUUUAAAUAAAAUUUGAAAUUCUGAAACUUUUUUGAAAAUCUGAACAUAUGUGAAAUUCCGACUUUUUUUAAUUUAAACAAUAUAUGAAUAUUUUUUAAAAAAUUAACGAAAUUUGAACAUUUUUUAAAAUCUAAACAAAUUUGAAAUUCUAAAUAUUUUUUCAUUUUUUUGGAAUUCUAAAUAUUCUUGAAAAUUUAAACAAAAAUAGAAAUUCUGAGCAUUUUGUGAAAUCUGAACAUUUUUUGAAAAUUUAAACUAUUUUAAAAUUCAGAUCUUUUUUGAAAUUUUUUAAAAAAUUGAAGUUUUGAACUUUUCUGAAAAUGUAAACAAAUUUUGAAAUUCUGAACUUUUUUGAAAAUGUAAACAAAUUUUGAAAUUCUGAAUAGGCGUGUGCAGUGACGCUGGGCCGAGUCGGACGCGCAAGCGCUGACGCCCCCACGAUGCCGAGGCAGCCCAGCAACUUCUUCCCCCUUUCCGAUCUCCACUCCACAGUCCUACCUACCCAUCCUCCCCUUCCGAGUCUCCAGCCAUACCUAGUCGCCGCCGGAAGAGCAGCGCGAGAUGAGCUCCGGGAUGGGGAAGGUGGUGUGCGUCACCGGCGGCUUGGGCUACAUCGCCUCCUGGCUCGUCAAGCUCCUCCUCCACCGCGGCUACACCGUCUGUGCCACCGUCAGGGACACCGGUCAGGACCCCCUUCCCUUCGCCCUCCCCUUGUUCCCUUCCUUUUCCGCCUCAUCUACUACGUGCUGGAUUCAUGGUUAUCGACCCAGCUGGUUCUUGGUUGGUCCCCGCCAGGGAUUCAUCCAUUCAGUGGGUGGGGGACUAGGUUUUGUUCAGGUUGUCAGAUUGGAACUGAUAUAGGGAAGAAGAAGCUAUGCUGCGAGUGAGUGAGUGGCAGCGUUCGGGAGUCAACGCCAUCUCCCUCCCUACAACUGUUAUUAUAUUUACAAAUCCAAGUCUGGAAGAGUCAAGGGGCAGCCAUCCUGAUUUGUGAAUUGCAUGAUAUCCUGGAAUCUGCCUCUUACCCUGUUUUGGCGUGUGGUGAUUUUAAUCUUGUUAGACAACAAUCUGAUAAAAGCAAUGGCAUGAUUAAUCCACAUUUUGCCUUCCUCUUCAAUGAUUGGGUUAAUAGAUGGGCUUGCUAGAAAUUUCCAUUUCCAACAGAUCUUUCACCUGGUCCAAUAAUCAAAAUAAUCCCAUCUUUGCCAUUCUAGAUAGGGUGUUCACUUCUAUGGACUGGGAUAUGCAUUUUCCUUUUAUCUACUUUGAUUGCCCUUCCAAGGGUGGGGAGUGACCACCCCCCCUAGUUUUAGACACUGGGCUAGAAAAGUUAAUUGUCCUAAGAUGUUUAGGUUUGAGAAGUGGUGGUUAGCUCAAUAUGGGUUCUCCCAGCUUGUGCAUGAUGUGUGGACUAAGAAUGGUGAUGCUAGUUCUUCUAUUGAGAAUUGGAUGUGCAAAACUAGAGUUCUUAGGAAAGUCAUUAAAGGUUGGAGCAUUCAUAUAGAGGCUGCCAUGAAGAAGAAGAAAAAAUCCCUCCUUAUGGAGUUUGACAUCUUAGAUGUGAAGUCUGAGCAAAAUCAUCUUUCUCCAUGUGAGUUUGAGAGAAUGAAUCUCAUUAAGAAAGAGUUGGAUGAUCUUUGGAAAAAGGAAGAGACUGCCUUCUGGCAGAGAUCUAGAGACAGAAAAAUCUUGGAGGGAGGUUGUAAUAAUGCUUAUUUUAUGGCUCUAGCUAAUCAUAGACAUAGGAAAAACCACUUGGAUGAAUUAAUUGGCCCUGAUGGCCCUGUCACAACUACUGAUGAUUUGUUGGAUGUUGCUACUAACUUCUAUAAGAAUCUUUUUUCUUAUGAACAAAAACCUGAUAUUCAUUUAGAUGAUGACUUUUGGGAUGACUGUGACAUGAUCACCGAGGAGGAGAGAGAGAUUUUGGAAAAACCCUUUUCUGAUUAGGAGAUUAAAAAGGCAAUUAUGAGUUCUUAUGCUGGAGGAGCUCAUGGCCCUGAUGGCCUGUCAUUUAUUUUUUAUCAAACCUUUUGGGAGUUAAUUAAAGAUGACUUUAUGUGGUUAGUGAAAGAUUUUGAAAAUGGUAAUCUGGAUGUCUCCAGAUUAAACUUUGCUAUUAUUACCCUGAUUCCUAAGGUUAAUAAUGCUAAAGAUAUGAAUUUUUUUAGACCUAUCAGCCUUGGAAACUGUUCUGUUAAGAUUUUUUCAAAAGCUAUGAAUACUAGGGCUUCCCCUAUAUGUGACAAAAUUAUCUCCCAAAAUCAAACUGCAUUUAUUAAGGGGAGAUUCAUACUUGAAAGUGUAGUCAUGGCUCAUGAAGUGAUUCAUGAGAUCCAUAGAUCUGGUUCUAGUGGCCUGGUUCUGAAAUUGGAUUAUGAAAAAGCCUAUGAUAAGGUGAAUUGGGAUUUCCUUGUGGAAAUGUUGAGGUCUAGAGGUUUUGGUGAGAAAUGGAUUGGUUGGGUUUGUAGUUGCCUUCAUCAGGGGACUUUUGCUGUGAAAAUUAAUGACACUAUUGGUCCUCAUUUUGUGGGAGGGAAAGGGCUAAAACAAGGUGACCCUUCCUCUCCUCUUCUUUUUAACUUAGUGGCUGAUGUUUUUUCUAAAAUGCUGAAGAAAGCUACUAGCCAUAACUUGAUUAAAGGGCUUCUGCCUCAUGUAGUGCAUGGUGGUGUGGUCAGCUUGCAGUAUACUGAUGACACACUACUAUUUUUAGAUGCCUCUGUUGAUCAUGCCAGACAUUUGAAAUGGAUCUUGGCUUGUUUUGAAAAACUAUCUGAUCUCUGUAUCAACUUUCAUAAAAGUGAUUUGCAUACCAUCAAUAUUAAUGAGGAGACUGCUAAGGAGUUUGCCCAAAUUUUCUGUUGCCAAAUUGGGGAUUUCCCUUUUAAAUAUCUUGGUGUUCCUUUACAUUUCAAGAAACUAAGGAGAGAGGAUAUCCAACCCAUUAUUGAUAGAAUUAUCAGGAAUAUUGCUGGGUGGUUGGGUAGAAAUCUGUCUUAUAAGGGGAAAUUGAUUUUACUUACUACCUGCAUUGCUAGUAUUCCCACUUACUUAAUGUCCAUUAUGAAAUUUCCUAAGUGGGCAAUUGAUGCUAUUACUUCUCAAAUGUCUCAUUUUUUCUGGGGUAAUGUUGGAGACAAUCAUAAAUACCACCUAGCCAAGUGGGGGCUGGUCUCUCAAAAGAAAGAGUGGGGUGGCUUGGGUGUUCCUAAUCUUAGGGAGUUUAAUAUGUCUUUACUUGCUGCUUGGAGUAAACGAUUCUUUGAUGAUAGAGAUAGUGACUGGAAGAAAAUGCUUAAUUACAAGUAUAAUGUGGAUAGGCCAAAUAUUCUCUGGUCUAGAACUGGGGUAGGCUCUCCCUUCUGGAAGAGCUUUACCUGGGCAUUUUCUGCUGCUAAGACUUUUUAUAGGUGGAUCCUGGGAAUGGGAGAAAUAUUUCUUUCUGGCAUGAUACCUGGGUGGGUGAUUGUUCACUCAAGACUAGGUUUUGGGACCUCUUUGUGAUCUGUCAGCAACAAGAUGCCUCAGUGGCCCAGGUUUGGGAUGGGGAGAAUUUGCAGCUGACCUUUAGAAGAUGUGUUAAUGAAGAUACUUUAUGCUCCUGGAAUGAGAUACUUAGUGUGGUUAAAAAUGUUCCUUUUUCCAACAUGGCUGAUAAGCCUGUGUGGACGUUGGAAAGCAAAUGAUUAUAUUCAGUAAAAUCUAUGUAUAAGGUGAUAAAUUGGGGGGGGGGGAGGGCGUGGUCUCUAUCUGGAGAGAUUUUAUCUGGAAAAUUAGUGUCCCACCCACCUAAUAUCCAUGUGUUUCUUUGGCUAAUGGUGCAUAACAAGAGUCUGACUAGGGACAAUCUGGUUAAAUGCCAGCAUGUGAAAGACCUGACAUGUGUCUUCUGUAGUGAAGCUGAAAGUAUCCAUCACUUGUUUUUUGAAUGUGUGGUGGCCCGACAAGUGUGGCUGGUGAUCUCUAACUGCACUAAGAUGCAUGUACCUGAAUCAUUUGAAUCUUUUAUUCCUUUUUGGAAGAAGAAGAAAAAAUGCUAUGAUGCUAUAAACCUGAUUUAUGCUGCUACCUUAUGGAGCUUAUGGUUGUUUCGGAAUGAAAUUGUGUUCCAUGGAAGAAGAUGGCGAAGUAUCAAGUGUGUGCUGGAAAUGGUGGGGAGGCAUAUCCAUCAAUGGAAGAUACUGUGCGUGGACUCCCAAGCUGUGCUAAUCCUCCAAUGCUUGAAGCUGCUCGACCAUCAUCGCCGGGAGUUGCUUAGGAUUACCUGGCAUGUAGAUGCUCCUGUAGGGAUUUCAUAGCUUGUGCGUUGCCUUCCCUGUAGGGGUCGUAUCCUAGUUAUCUUGUAGGUGUUCAGACUUUUGCUGCUUCAUCAAUAAUAAUUCUGUUGCGGCUACUUCUGGCUAGAGCCGAGAGCUAUUAACAGUGUGUUUUGGUUGCCUUUGCUUUUUCAAUAAAAAGUUGGGGCAGGGGCAACCCCUUUAGUUUCAAAAUAAAAAAUUCAUAAGAGCCUGUUGUAAAUUGAUCAUCAAAGCCGUGGACACAGCUCCAGUGCCGUAAAGGCACCUGCCUUUGAGUCACUAACAUGUGGGCCAGCCACCUGUUGGACCCACAUGUCACAGUCAUAAAGGCAGUAUGUUUGAGGAGUGUCAGUCGAGGCUAGUCCUGGCCAUCUCUGGUCCGGCCCUGUCGGCCCACCCAGGUCUGGCCCUAAAAUCCAGGGCCUAGGCCCGAUGGGCUUGCUCGUGGGCCGGGCUUAGGCCUAAGUUUUGAGCCCACCAGCAGGGCCUUGACGGGCUUGGCCUUGGCAUAUUGGCAUUUUAAGGAAGAGGCCCGACCUAUGGCCCUAAGCCUUAAGGGCUUUCGAGGGCUUUUUACCAGAUGGGCCGGGCUUAGGCUUGAAAAGUAGGCCCGAUGGUAGGGCCUGGGCCUCAGUUUUCUGCCGUGGGCUUUUUUAGGCCCGGCCCAAGCCCGGCCCGGCCCGGCGCAUGGCCAGAUAUAGUCGAGGCGUUGAGGAAGAAAGUGAGAGGGAGUCCACUUGAAUCACACGGACGUUUCAAAAGUUCAGCGUGGCGUGUGCGCUGACGCUGGGUCGAGUCGGAAGCGCAAGCCCAGCAGCAUCUCUUCUCCCCCCUUUCCGAUCUCCACUCCACAGUCCUACCUACCCAUCCUCCCCUUCCGAGUCUCCACCCAUACCCAGCCGCCGCCGGCGGAAAGAGCACGGCGAGAUGAGCUCGGGGAUGGGCAAGGUGGUGUGCGUCACCGGCGGCUCGGGCUACAUCGCCUCCUGGCUCGUCAAGCUCCUCCUCCACCGCGGCUACACCGUCCGCGCCACCGUCCGGGACACCGGUCAGGACCCCCUUCCCUUCUCCCUCCCCUUGUUCCCUUCCUUUUCCGCCUGAUCUACUACGUGGUGGAUCCAUGGUUACGGCCCAGUUGGUUGUUGCUUGGUUCCCGCGGCCGCCCCGCCAGGGGUUCAUCGAUUCAGUGGGUGGGGGACUAGGUUUUGUUCAGGUUGUCAGAUUGGAACUGAUACAGCGUCAGGGACCAAUUAGUUCAUGCUGUGAGUGAAUGAGUGGCAGCGUUGGGGAGUCAACGCCAUCUCCCUCCCUGCAACUGUUAUAUUUACAAAUCCAAGUCUGGAAGUGUCAAGGGGCAGCCAUCCUGAUUUGUGAAUUUUAAACUGCACAACCUAGCUCUCACAAACAUAAUACUGUUGCUAGCAUGUCGCUGCGACAGUCAAUUUUUUCCCCAUUAUAAAUCUUUUAGAUUUGUUGGCGUUCAAAAUCAACAUGAAUUCAGGCUCUGUUCACUCACUCCCUUGUACACUACUUAAUUACUAGUUAGCAAUAAGAGCAUGCUGUGAGUGCUAGUGUUGGGGAGUCAACGGCAUCUCCCUGACGAAACUAUAUAUCCAAGUCUAGUAAGACUCAAGUGGCAGCCAGUCUGACUUCCAAAUUAAAAAACUACACAAGUGAGUUCUCAUAAUAGUGUGGCCAGCGUGUUCCUGUGACACUCAAUUAACAUAAAUGUUGGCAUGCUGGAAUGUUUUCUAUUUAAUAAUUAUCUUGGCUGAAUGGGUUGAGUGGGUGGGGGUGUUUUAAUAAAUAAAGAACUGAUAUUUCCUUCUUUCAGCCGACCCCAAGAAAACGUUGCACCUGCAGGCCCUGGAUGGAGCCAAGGAUAGGCUGCACUUGUUCAAAGCAAGCUUGUUAGAAGAAGGCUCCUUCGAUGCUGCCAUCGCGGGUUCUGACUGUGUGUUCCACACGGCUUCUCCCUUUUAUCACAAUGUCAAGGAUCCCAAGGUUAGCAUGUACUAUAUCAUGACCAUCUUGUGCACAAUUACAGACAGCAUGUGUUUGUUCCUUAAUUAUGCAUGUGUGCGGGCUUAUGUUUUCAACAGCUAAAACUGUUUAUGAUGUUUAGUUAGUAAAUUCAACAGCUUCACUGGACGUUUGUUCUGUGUACUUAUGUGUGUCUUUACUGUCUUGCAGGCUGAGUUACUUGACCCAGCAGUCAAUGGAACACUCAAUGUUCUCCGUUCCUGCAAAAAAGCCUCAAUCAAGAGAGUGAUCAUAACGUCGUCCAUGGCUGCUGUUGCCUACAAUGGGAAGCCCAGAACACCUGAUGUAGUAGUUGAUGAGACAUGGUUUUCAAGUGCAGAGGUCUGUGAAAAGAAUGAGGUAAUAUGUCUUUCUGUGCUGGUAGAGCUCUGCUUGUUUUUCACAUAUGGUGUGGCAAGUCAUGUUAAUAAAUACAUAUGCCUGUGCUCUAUAUUUAUCACUCUGCCUGCACUCAAAUGCCCUUGAUUAGCGUACUAGAUGACUUACAUACACCUCUACUGAAAUACAGUUUCUUAGGAUGAGAGGGUGAUACCAUUGUUGUUGAAGAUCUUGGUUUUUGUGUUUUCACACAAGGAUGUAGGUUGAGUCCAAUUAUACAUAAUCCAUAACGAGAAAUUUAAGAAUAGGAAAGUAACUGUCAAUUGAUCUUGUUCCAUCUUUAUUUGUGUCAUACUAUACUUGUUUUCAGGAAAAAAAAAACUAUACCUGGUUAAGUCAACACUAGUGCCAGUAUGUUAUAGGUAGUCAGUCUCUGUCUGCUGCUACUACACAAUUGCAGAACAACUCUGCAUCUACACAUUAUUCAGUUAAGAUUUUGCUGAAUAUAAACAUAGUACUUGCCUCAUAGAUGUUGAACCGGCAUAUAAAUAUAUAAUCACUUCACUACUAUUAACAUACGAAUGACAUCUGCACUUGUCAUCAUAAGUAUAUCGCUACUAUUACCAUACGACUGACACCUGCAUUUAUCAUUAUAAGCACAUUGUUCUUCAGUAGGGAUAUGCGUUCCAUUCCUCGUAUUGACUAUAAGCUUAGACAUAAUUUCUGCUUUAACAGAGUUCUUUCGAUAUUUGUUACCUAACUUGAAAUUAGAUUGCCUUAUAUAACUUUGUAUGCAAAUCUUUCAAAACUUUACUUUCACAUCCUUUUGUAUUGCCAUUUUAAAUCCGUACUUGACUGUACAUCAUUUGCAUUCUCAUCUGGUUCUCCUGAAUGUUCAUCUGCUUCAGCAAUGGUAUGUGCUAUCCAAGACCCUUGCUGAGGAAGCUGCAUGGAAGUUUGCAAAUGAUAAUGGAUUUGAAAUAGUUACAAUAAACCCAGCUAUGGUCAUCGGUCCUCUGUUGCAGCCUACACUGAAUACUAGCGCAGAGGCAAUAUUGAAGUUUAUAAAUGGUAUGUCUGUAUGUGUCUUCAUAAUUAAUUUUUUAGGUUAGCUCUGUGCAAGUAUGUAAGGUAGAGCUCUGUUACACCCUACACACAUUUUGCAUUUGUCAUUUGUUUGAGAGAAUACCCCUGUUAAGCCAUUAGCACAAUUUCUGCAAACAAGCUCAAGAUAUUCCAAGUGCUAUUGAAUUAUGUUCCUUUCAUUUCUUUUUAUGUGUGUACAUGUGUUUUGGGCACUGGCAGAAGCACUAUAGACAUUGCCAUAUUGGAAUGAUUCUACUCUUCAUUGUUUAUCUAGCUAAUAGUUUGUGCAUCCUAAAGCUGCACGUUACAUGUACGGUGAAUGUUAUGAAUCUUAUAAGAAAUAUCAAUAAGAUGACUGUUUAAUUGGACAUUUGAUUGUUCUCUAUGGGGGUCUGGCCUAUGGUACCUUCAGUGCCAUGAAUAUAUUUUCAUCUAGCAGAGAGGAUAUUUGUUGGCCGAUCAGAAACAUGCAUGACGUAGAUGCUUAUGUCUCAAAAAUAUUAAAAACUACAGUUCUUGUGCCAAAAGAAGUCUACUCUAACGGGACAUCUCUGAACUCUUGACAAGAAAUCCUUGGUAUUUUCAUGCAGGAUCAUCUUCUACAUACCCCAAUUUCAGCUUUGGAUGGAUAAAUGUUAAAGAUGUUGCCCUGGCACAUAUUCUUGCAUAUGAAGUUCCUUCAGCAAACGGAAGAUACUGUAUGGUUGAAAGAGUUGCUCACCACUCGGAGAUUGUCAAGAUCAUACAUGAAAUGUACCCCAACUUUCCAGUGCCAGAAAAGUAAGCUAACAUUCUUUGCAAGCGCUUUCUCAAGUAAAUUCCUUGGAAUCGAAUCGAGAACAGCAGUGUUGGAUAUUAGUUAUUUGUUUCUUGUUGAGGCUUCACGGACACCGAAGAGCGCUUAAGCUGUUCAUUUGCACCAUUUCUUGUUGAGGCUUCAUGGACAUUGUAGUGACGGGACUCAUUAUUUUCCAUUUUUUGUGCAGGUGUGCAGAUGACGCACCAUUUGUCCCUAUCUACCAGGUAUCGAAGGACAAGAUAAGAAGUUUGGGCAUGGAGCUGAUUCCCCUGGAGACGAGCCUCAAGGAGACUAUUGAGAGCUUGAGAGAGAAAGGAUUUGUUACUUCUGAGUCGAGCCAUCUGUGAAACUUCCUUUGCUUUGGCGUCACUGGAUGCAUGCAUGUUUAUGUACACCUAAAAUAAAUGGAGGCAUAUUGCACUCUGUGAAUCCGUUGUGUUUUCAUGGAUUCGAGUCUCAAGAUGUUCCUUAGAAUAUGGGCAAUCAGGAGCAUGCUUGCAAAUAGAAAGACUCACUACUUAGUCUCGAUGACAUGCUAGUGGACUUAACUUUCUAGCGACAUAUAGUGUAUAUAUAUUUCUACAUGACUUCAUAUGUAUACUAUACUCUAGAUAACUUCUGGAAAUGAUCCAAUUGAGAAAGAAAUGUGUUUGUGGAAACUGGUUCUACUAACAUGAUUUUAAGGGAGAUUCAAUAUUUCCAGACUAUUAUGAAGAGCAGUGGAAGUGUCGUGACAUUGUUGGUCAUGGUGCUGUAAUUGUUGCUUCAACAAUUGCACUCCUUAUGGAUACUAUAUGGUAAUCUUGGAUGCAUAUGUAUCUAUAUUUUAAUAAUACCUUGUUGAGUUCUAAGAAUAUCCGUAAAAUUGCUUAUGUUGAAAUUCAUAAACUGAGUGAGGUUGAAAACCUACUCGUAACUCAGCAAAAGGGAUUUUCAAGGAAAUCUCAGAGUAAAUGCUUCUCUAUAUUGUGGAUUGUAUUAUACAUGCAUUAAACAAGCUACACAUUUGGCAUAAAAAAUAAUUUUCUAGAAUCUUGAUAAGUUCAAGAUAUGACAUGGUCGCGUAGGUCAUCCUGAGGUUGGGAUGAUAAGAAAAUUAUUGAUGGUUCCAUUUGACAAAAUUCUAGGCUGGUAUGCGAAAUUCGAUUCGUUUGGCCAGGUUUGCAUAUGAGUAGCAUCAAUUGCGCUAAUACAAUCAUUUUCAGGCAUGAACAAAGUGAAACUGUUAUGGUUCACAACAAUAAAUUCAUGCCAUGGCAUGAACUAACAAUUAGUACUGCCCACCUUGAAAUAUGGAUACCAUCUAUAGUUGGUUCAUAUCUUCAAAGGAGUUUGACCAGUAGAUGGCUUCAUCAUCUCUCCUCCCAGCUCUCCAAUCAUACCGGGAUAUUGUUUCAUCGGAUCUCCUAAAUGUGCUAUGAAUCACUCUAAACCUUUGGUUAUGACCUACAAGAUGAAGAAACAUUGUUACUUGCUCUUUCAAAAGAUGUGUGGAUACUAUCUAUUAGCAAUUGCCUCUCCCUAAAUGUCUUCACAAGCUUGGAAAAGGGCUACUUAUUCGAAGCAUGUUCAGAAACUCUACAUCAUUACGGUUGUAGAUGUAGUUCUCAUGUAGCUCGGAUUAGUCAUCCUCUCUCUAUCUCGGGAAGCAUUGGAGCAUAUAUGUCCACACUCAUGGAAUUGCGAAGAACCGCACUCUUGUGGACUAACAUGAACCAGUCCUAAAUCAUAGCUACGAGUGUUAAUAACUGAAAGCUUCAUUCAUUCGUCACAGUGAAAUCGAUGUUGUGGUAAGUAACGAUGGAAUCAAACCUACACCUUACCUAACAACCUAGCAGUGCAGGGAUGGGGUGGUUGUAUGUUGCUUACCUCCAUGGGAGACAAUGACGACAACCUGCUUGUGCCGGAGAUGAGGCGAACGAGACGGAGAUGGAGACGAAGGGGAGGAGCAGUUAACGAAGGUGAGAAGCAUGUUCCGGUGCCGGAGAUCUUUGUCCAUGCCGCUGUCGGCACCGCAGAUCUAAAUCGCCGGCACGAACAGUGCCAAAAACCGUGGUUGGAUUUGACCUCCUGCUGGAAGUGAACAACUAGAAGGGGGCUGAGACUAGAUUUCAAGCCAGCAGAUUUUCAUAUCUCGCCAUCUCCACGCCCGCUCCCUACAUAAGCUGGCCCCCGCCUUGCAAUCGCGUUAGCCUGGCUCCAUGAAAAAUCGCAAAUCCAAGUGUUUUCCUUGAACCAAGAUAUACAUUGCUUGGAGUAUCGUGCGAGCACGGGCCAACACCUCACAUGAGUAACCAAACAGGCUUUUUGCACUCACUUUGCUUGUGUUGGAGUUGGUGCGAGCAACCAAAUGGCUAUGUGAAGAUCUCUUAUAAUAAUUUAGGAAGAAGUAGAUGCCAACUACAACUGCGCGUACAUAUAUACACAUCGCCUUGUAAACGCAAGAAAGGUCACAAAUGGUGUAGAGUAAAUGCACCGAUGCACAUAGUAGAAUGACAUACUCAACAAGCAAUGUGUACUAAUAAGAUCUAUUUUGGCCAUGAACGAUGAACAAUGUUAAUCAUCAGCUAUCAAGGAACUUGGAAUGGAGCUCUGCCUCUUCCUUAUAUAGGUACAGUAAACAUAGAAAAAUGUGUCUUUGUGAUUUUGAGUAAAAUGUCUUAAUACGUGCAAUCAGUCUAGAAUAUGUAAAACCAAAACAAUUGCAAUGAUCACUAUAGCCUUAAAAUAUGUGACAAAGCAUAUGAACAUCUCCAUCUCACUUCAUGGACAUCACAAUCUACUAUUAAUUGUGUCCACAUUGGCACAAUUACCGAACAAACACCAAAGAGAUUUGUGGAGGAGCUGAAUAAAGUAAAAGAUCUAUGAGAUCUUCAUGCUGUCAUGCGGCUCAUAUCCCACCAGCCUUCAGUUCCCGGCUCAAGAUUUUACUUUAUAUGGUAUACUAUUCAAUAACAUUGCAUGAUAAAUAAAUAAAACCACAGAAACAUGUACUCUACUUUAAUUCAAAAGAUUAAUUAAGACAUGUCAGCGAGCCAUCAUGCAAAACUAUCAUCAUAUCAUGUCUUAGACAAUAGAAACCACUCGCUGUGGGCAUAUGCCAUCACCAUUUUCUCAUCAAUGUCACAUCUUUUGAGAGACCAAUUUAGAAACUAGAUCAAAAGAAGUAGUGCAAAUUGUAGAGUUCAAAUGGAAAGACUAAGCUAUUGGCUACAAAUAAAUUUUGAAGGCAAUUAAACCAAAAAUCACAAAGUUAAUGUUGCAAGAAAAUUGAGAUUCAUUACAACAUAAUUCAUUCGCCUGCUUGGACAUGCCAACAACACAUGGAACUGUCAAGCUUACUAGAAAAAAACCAACAAUAUUGUGAGUGACAUGAUUCAUCAAAAGACACUUGUCGCCUCCAAGUUAGUCAUCUUUCUUGUUGAUGAGAGUGGCCCAUACCUUUAAGACUACUCGAUCGUACAUUGUCAAUGCGCCACAUCACAAGGUCUCAGCCAUUCUGUAAGUAUUAAUGUGUCAGUGUGAUUUCAAAAAGGGGAUGCCACGAUAAAUCUUCAAUUAAGUAGACAUAGCAUAAUUGGGUGUAACAUUCGAGGAUCCAUGUUAUAGGAAGUUUGCUUGAGCACAUAUGAAAUAUAUUGCUGGAAGUUUGCUUGAGCACAUAUGAAAUAUAUUGCUGGAAGUUUGCUUGAGCACAUAUGAAAUAUAUUGCUGGAAGUUUGCUCGAGCACAUAUGAAUAUAUAACUUUCUAUGUGAUCAUCACUAAUAUGAUUAAACAUUAAGUAAUAUAUUAGUAUUUAUAUAAGAAUGGAUCCAAAUAAAAAAAGAAAGGACAUAUAGAUGUACCCGGUGGAUUGUAGAAACUCAUGUAUGGGAUCAAAUAACGAAAUUUCUCUCUCUUUCAUAGCUUCUUCCAUUGUAGUGUCUUGAUAUUAACCUCAUAGAUGCCAAGCUCCGCAGUUAUGAAAAUGAUAUCACUGGCCUCCACAGAUCCAACCAGUCUGAGUCUUUUGUUGGUAUUUUGAAAAGGGAGAAGGUUUAUGAGUUCGACGACUCUACGCAUAGUCCAUGACGCUUUUCCAUUAGCAUCCAAUUGUCUUGACCAUAUGUUGAGGGUUACCUUGUCCACAUGCGCAAACCCCAAACUACCAUCCUCCAUCGCCAUGAGGAUAGUGGAACCGCUAAUGAUAGCCCCGGACAAUGGCGUAUCAAUCAACGAUAAGCAAUUAGAGCUCAAGUCAUACUUCAGAAUUUCUACACUAUCAUCAUCAUCAUGUGUAAGCAUGAAGUGAAGUGCAUUUUCAACAAGGAUGGAGGGCAUUGAGUCGAUGAAUGCAUCAGGUGCAAGUUGUAGACUAGAGGACAUAUCGCUCCACUCAACAUCAGAGCAUGACUUGCUCCAGUCACCUGUCACCGGCGAGGACACACGUGCAUGUGCAACACAAUUGUCAUCAUCUGUCAAGUCAAGGCCCAAGAAUACUACCUGGAAGGGCCCUGCAUGACACGCGCGAUGGUCACAAUCGCUCGCUGCACAAAGCAGUGCAGUGGCCCCAUCGACGUAGCCCAUCGACGUGGGCACCUUUAACUUUCUUUGGCGACCCGUCAUGGGGUCCCAAACAACAAGGUGCGUUGGCGUCCAAUUAUCCCGAAGGAGAACGCGACCAUGACGGCAGUCCCACGCAGGGUAUUUAUAGUUACCCCCGCGGUUGUCGGGAAUGUUUGCACCGAAUUUUAUGGUGGAGAUGAAGCGCGGCGAGGGGGCUUUCCUCGGGAGAAAGUCGAGGGGCCAGGAAUAAAUGAACCCCAACAUGGGGGAAGAUCCAUGGAACUUACGAUAGCGACCACGAAAGGCAUGGCAGGAGAGAAUGCCGAGCCAUCGCUUGUUGGCAACGGAGGCACGCGGGCUCAUUCGGCGGCAGGCGAAAGAAGAUCUCCUCGAGUAGCUCGUCGGGCAGCAAUUCUAUGGGCGGCGGCGGCGGCAUGGUUGGUGGAGGCGAGGGUUUCGGGUGGAGGGGGAGGAGGUUUGAGGGUAGGUUUUUAUAUUGAUUUUGGAAGGUUAGUGUUUCUUGCCAAGAUUGACCAUCCUAUGGGCCACCGAAAGCUCAAGGCCAAGCUUGGGUUAAAAUCAAGACACGUGGGGUCCAUGGCAGGCUACCCGUGCCUGGAGGUAGGCCUGCUGCGAGGCUUCCCACAAAGACGCCAACCCGGUGUAUUACGGAGUGGGUCCAAUUAAAUAAUGUUUUUUGUCUCACUAAGAAAUUAGAUCAAACUACUAAUCUCGCGGAUGCUACAAACCAUACCUGGCCAUCUGUCGGGCCGGGCCUACCAAAGCCUGAUGCAAAAAACCCAAGCCCGAGUCCGGCCCAGCCAUCGGGCCUAAAAAUCAGGCCCAAACCCAACCCAUCAUGCUAAAAGCCCGCCGGACCUCAGGCCGGGCCUCUUCGUUAACGUGCGAAUACGAUGGGCCCAAGCCCGACCCGGCCCAGCCGCCGGGCUUAAAAUCUAGGCCCGAGCCCGGCCCGUGGACAAGAUCGGGCCGGUCUGCCCAUGGCCAGGUAAACAAAGUGAGUACAGCUGCCUACGCCGGCUGUAGAUGCGUGGCGUGUACCAUAGCUGGCCAAACGGGCCGGCCUGGCCCGGCACGGCACGGCCCAUCCUAAUCGUGCCUGGCACGGCCCGGCCCGCCUAGGCACGAUUAUUAUACGGGCCGUGCCGUGCCAGCCCGCGUGCUGCAGCCUGCAGCCCAGGCACGGCCCGUAUGCUAAUCGGGCCGGCCCACCGGCACGUCAGGCCCACUAAUCUACCUCCUAUUUUGCGCACUGAGCGUUUUUAGCCUAUUUUUACCUGUUGGCCCAUAUUAGGAUACAUAAAAAAUAUAAAAAAGUUAAUCGGGCCGUGCCGUGCCGGCCCGCGUGCUCGCCCUUUAGGCCCAGGCACGGCCCAUGGCGUGCCGCGUGCCGGGCCCGGCCCAUUUAGCACGUGUCGUGCCGUGCCAGGCCUGUGCCGUGCCGGCCGUGCUACCGGGCCGGCCCAACUAUCCCGGCCCGUUUGGCCAGCUAUAGCGUGUACGAGUACGGUGACGACUUGCCGAGACGGAGGCGGCCCACCCACCACGACGCUGACACUAGUUAUCUCUCCCCUUUCCCCUUCCCCUUUCCCUGUCUCCGCUCUGCUCCACUCCACAGUCCACCACACCCGCCCAGCCGCAGCCGGAAAAGAGCACGGCGAGAUGAGCUCCGGGACGGGGAAGGUGGUGUGCGUCACCGGCGCCUCGGGCUACAUCGCCUCCUGGCUCGUCAAGUUCCUCCUCCAGCGCGGCUACACCGUCCGCGCCACCGUCAGGGACACCGGUCAGUACUCAGGACCCCACCCCCUUCCAUCCCAUCCCCUUCCUUUUCCGCCUGCUCUAGCUGGCGGAUCCAUGGUUAUCGGUUGGUUAUCGGUCCCCGCCGCACCGAGGGAUUCAUGGAUUUGUUCAUGGUUAUCGUGGCUGGGAGACUAGGUUUUGUUCAGGAUGUCAGAUUGAAACUAAUAAUCCAAGAAAGAAGAAGAAGAAGCUGACUGAAUUUGUUAGCAUGCUGUGAGUGAGUGAGUGAGUGAGUGAGUGGCAUGCAGUGCUUGGAAGUCAACGCCAUCUCCCUGCUGCAACUUUUAUAUUAUAGUACGUAUUAUAAAUCUAAGUCUAGAAUAGUCAAUUUUUUUCAUUAUAAAUCUUUUACAUUGUUCGAGUUCAAAAUUAACAUAAAUUCUGCCUCUGUUCACUCACUCCCUUGUAUACUACUCCCUCCGUUCCUAAAUACUUGUCUUUCUAGAGAUUUCAACAAGUGACUACAUACGGAACAAAAUGAGUGAAUCUACACUCUAAAAUAUGUCUAUAUACAUUCGUAUGUGUAGUCCAUUUGAAAUCUCUAGAAAGACAAAUAUUUAGGAACGGAGGGAGUACUGAAUUAGUUAGCAAUAAGAGCAUGCUGUGACUCCCUCCCUUAACAUAAUUCUGGCUCCCUAGUACAACUAUAUAUCCAAGUCUAAAUACAGAGUCAAGUGGCAGCCAUUAAAAACUACACAAGUGAUAGUGUGGCUAGCGUGUUCCUGUGACAGUCAAUUUUUUCGUUACAAAUCUUUUAGAUUAGAUUGUUGGAGUUCAAAAUCAGCAUAAAUUGACACUUGGAAUGUUUCCUUUUUAAUAUAACAUGCAUGUGCGGUGCUAACUGAACUGACGGUUCCUUCUUCCAGCCGACCCAAAGAAAACAUUGCACCUGCAGGCCCUGGAUGGAGCCAAGGACAGGCUGCACUUGUUCAAAGCAAGCUUGUUGGAAGAAGGCUCUUUCGAUGAUGCCGUUGCCGGCUGCGAUUGUGUCUUCCACACGGCCUCUCCCUUUUAUCACAAUGUCAAGGAUCCCAAGGUUAGCAUCAUGAGACUGAUGACUACAUAAUGUUCAUCAGGAAGGAGCACCUUGUUGGAGAUGGGCCAAAUAUUGCGCUCAAUACUUGACCUAGCAGCUGAGUUACACUACAUCAUGAGACUGAUAACUUUUGUUUUGUAUAUGUAUGUGUGUCUUUCAGGCUGAGUUACUUGACCCAGCAGUCAAUGGAACGCUCAAUGUUCUCCGUUCUUGCAAGAAGGCCUCUAUCAAGAGAGUGAUCGUAACGUCAUCCAUGGCUGCUGUUGCCUACAAUGGGAAACCAAGAACUCCUGAUGUAGUAGUUGACGAGACAUGGUUUUCAAGUGCAGAGGUCUGCGAAAAGAAUAAGGUAAUAUGCCUUUCUGUGCUCAUAGACCUCUGCUUGUUUUUCACAUAUGGAGUGGCAAUCACGUUAAUAAAAUAUACUAUCUGCCUUUGAUUGCUCUAUAUGUCUUUCACUCCGUCCGCACUGAAAUGCCCUUAUUUUGUCUACUUGAUGAUUUGCAUACCACCAAUUCUGCAAAUGCACCUCUACUGAAAUAGAAUUUUCUUAGGAUAAGAGGGUGAUACCAUUGUUAUUGAAGACCUUGGUUGUGUGUUUUCACACAAGGAUGUAGGUUGAGUCCAAUGAUACACAAUCAAUAAUCCACAACAAAAAAGUUUAAGAAUAGGAAAGUAACUGUCAAUUAUAGAUGGUCAGUCUAUAAUUUGUGUCAUACUAUACUAUACUUGGUUAGUAUAAUUGAUCUUAUUCCAUCUUUAUUUGUGUCAUACUAUACUAUACUUGGUUAGUGUUCAGGAAAAAAAAUUAUACCUGGUUAACUCAGCACUAAUGCCAGUAUGUUAUAGAUGGUCAGUCUCUGCCUGCUGUUACUAAGCAAUUGCCAUAACAACUCUGCAUCUACACACUGGUUAGUCAAGAUUAUGCUGAAUACUACCUCAUCGAUGCUGAAGCGACAUACAAUGCCAUAUAACUGACAUCUGGACUUGUAAUCAUAAGUACAUCACUACUAUUACUGUAUAACUGGCGCAUGGACUUGUCAUUAUAAGUACAUCGUUCUUCAGUGGGGAUAUGCAUUUGGUUCCUCAUACUGACUAUAAGCUGCCAUAAUUUCUGCUUUAACAGGGUUCUUUCGAUAUUUGUUUCCUAACUUAAAAAUUAGAUUGCUUUAUUUAAUUUUGUAUGCAAAUCUCAAAACUUUACUUCCACAUCCUUCUGUAUUUGAAUUUUAAAUCCAUGGUUGACUGUACAUCAUUUAUGUUCUCAUCUUGUUAUCCUGAAUGUUCGUCUGCUUCAGCAAUGGUAUGUGCUAUCCAAGACCCUUGCCGAGGAGGCUGCAUGGAAGUACGCAGAUGAUAAUGGAUUAGAAAUAAUUACAAUAAACCCAACAAUGGUCAUCGGUCCCCUGUUGCAGCCUACACUGAACACUAGUACAGAAGCAAUAUUGAAGUUUAUAAAUGGUAUGUCGGUAUGUGCCUUGAUAAUUAACUUUUUAUAGGUUAACUCUAUGCAUGUAAGGUAGAGCUCCGUUAUGCCCUACACCCAUUUUGUAUUUGUCAUUUGUUUGAGAGAAUACCCAAGCUCAAGAUAUUGCAAUUUCUAUUAGCCAUUAGCAAAAUUUCUGCAAACAAGCUCAAGAUAUUUCAAGGGAUGUUGAAUUUAUGUUUCUUUCAUUUCCUUUUUUUUGUGUGUGUUUUUUGGGUACUGGCAAAAGCACUGUGAGAUAUUGCCAUAUUGGAAUGAUUCUACUUUUCAUUGUUUGUCUAGCUAAUAGUUUAUGCAUCCUACCGCAAGUUACAUGUACAGUGAAUGUUAUGAAUCUUGUGAGAAAUAUCAAUAAGAGGAUUGUUUUCAAUUGGACAUUUGAAUGUGGGUCUGCCUAUGGUACCUUUGCGUUUCUCUCUGGCUUUGCGUUCAUUUAUUUGGACGCUUGAGCUUCAGAGCCAUGCAUAUAUUCUCAUCUAGCAGAGAGGAUGUUUAGCGACCAAUGGAAAACAUGAACAGAAUAGUUACCUGUCUAAAAAAAGGGUUAAAGUCACAGUAGUUGUGCUAAAAGAAGUCUACUCUAACAGGACAUUACUGUUUGACUCUUGACAAGAAAUCCUUGGUAUUUUCAUGCAGGAUCAUCUUCUACAUACGCCAAUUUCUGCUUUGGAUGGAUAAACGUUAAAGAUGUUGCCCUGGCACAUAUCCUUGCAUAUGAAGUUCCUUCAGCAAACGGAAGAUAUUGUAUGGUUGAAAGAGUCAUUCACCACUCGGACCUUGUCAAGAUCAUACACGAGAUGUAUCCUGAAUUUCCAGUGCCAGACAAGUAAGUUAGCAUUCAAUGAAUCCCUUGGAAUUGAAUCGAGAACAGUAUACUGUUGGAUAUUAUUAGUUGCUUGUUUCUUGUUGAGGCUUGAGGGACAUAAUAGAUGUUUUCCAAUCAUGCAUUUCUCAACAUUGUAGAGAGCGCUUAAUCUGUUCCUUUGCACCAUAUGGCGACGGGACCCCUGAAGUUAGUUUUUUUCCUUUCUUGUGUGCAGGUGUGCAGAUGAUGCGCCGUUUGCCACAAUCUACCAGGUAUCAAAGAACAAGAUAAGAAGUCUGGGCAUGGAGCUGACCCCCCUGGAGACGAGCCUCAAGGAGACUAUCGAGAGCUUGAGAGAGAAAGGAUUUGUCACUUCUGAGUCGAGCCAUCUGUGAAACUUUGUUUGCUUUGGCAUCGCUAGUGGCAGACGCUGGAUGCACACAUGUUUAUGUGCACCUGAAAUAAAUCGAGGCAUAGUGUAUUCUUGAGACAUGUAUUUGCGGAUCUGCUGUGUUUCAAUGGAUUCAAGUUCCGAGACAUGUAUAACCAGUACACAUGAAUGUAUGAUGAAUGCUUCUAGAAAGAUUAUCCAUCCUGUAUUGUUUCCCGACGCCUUUUGGAACGCAUGAAUACAGACACAGAUAGAAGGAAAUAACAAGAGACACAGACACAGAUAGAAGGAAAUAACAAGGGACGGUAUCUUUUGUCGUAAACCAAACAUACCUGAUAACGCAUGAUGUGGUUGGAUGGAAAUUUCACAGAACAAUGUGCUCCGAUCUAUGAGGGUGCUGUGAAAGAUAGAACAGUACUGGCCCUAGUGGAGGUUCAGUUGGAAUUUCUGAGUUGAGAGAACAGCUACUAGUAUGUUGAAUCGAUAAAAUAUAACCAGCAACAACAACGAUCAUUUGCCGUUUACAGAUCUUCAGGCUUGAGAGAUAGUUGCGUGCAGGUAGAGGGAGGCACAUCUGAAUACUGCAAUUGUGGGCCUGAGAAGAGGUUGAGCAGGUUACAGGUGAAACUCUGUUCUAGCCAAUGUUUGUUGUCGCACAACAUGUUUCAUCUCUUUACAUGGCUAAAGAUGCACAACGAAUAACGAACACACACCUAACAGUUUUUUGGAGUUUUUUUUUUGCGGGGUAGUUUUCUGGAGCUAUUGAAGCAGUUAAAAUCUCUAUGAGAUCUUCAUAGUCAUGCAGCCCCAUAUUCUAUAGUUCACUAAACUUAUAGCUCGAGAUCCAGUUAGCAUGCUAUACUCUUCAGCAACAUUGCUUGCUAAAUGCACCAGCACUUGGCAGGUAGCACUAAUUAAAUCCAUCAGAUUAUUCAUUUAGAAAAAAACCAGCAAGCCAGGGUGUAAAAAGGUUCAUCAUGCCAUCUCUUGGGAAGCAGAAACCACCAUCUCUCUGGACAUGGUCUCAUGAUUUUCUCACCAACAGUACAUCUUUUCAAAGAUGAAUUUAAAGAUUGGAUCAAAGCAGGGAGAGAGCAAACUGUAGAGUUUUUAAAAUGGUAAUACCAAGUUACUGCCUGCAAAUGCUUUUUCAAGUAAAUUCUACAACAGGGUACAUCAAAUUAGAGGUUCAUUACAAAGAUAAUCAAUUCACUCGGCCACUAACACAGGAGAUUAUCAAGCUAACUGACAGAAGCUAUCAACAACAUGAGAAAACAAGCAAGCACCGCUGCACCAAAAGGGCUACUGAAUGAUGACAUAAUUCAUCAGGACUUCGCGAGACCCCUGUUCCCUCCAAGUUUGUCACCUAUCUUGUUGAUGAGUGUAGCCUCGUACAUAUUCAACCACACAUUCUUAAUGCGGCGCGUCACUGGGGGUCACCCUUUCUGCAAACAUAGGUUUGUCAGUAUGAUUCUAGAAGGGGGAUUACGUGAUACUGUAUAAAUUGCAAAUUAAGCAUAAUUAGUUGUAACCACACCGCACUCAAAGUUUGUUCGCACCCAUUUCAAACAUAGCUUUCAAUCCGACUAGGCAUUCAAUGUUUUGUUUAUUCCACUAACUUGUAUGGAGUAUUAUUUAGGAGUUGUUCCCACAUCACAAAAGAAAGGACAUAUAGAUACAAACAUACCUUGUGAAUUGUAGAAACUCAUGUAUGGGAUGAAAACUUGAAACUUUUCUCCCUCCCAUACUUUCUUCCACUGUAGUGACUUCAGAUUAAUCUUGUAGAUGCCAAGAUCCGUGGUCAUGAAAAUGAUAUCAGUGCCUUCCAUAGAUCCAAUCAGCCUAAGUCGUUUCUUUGGGUUUCGAAUGGGAAGGAUGUCGUUGAUAUUGAUGACUGUACGUUGAGUCCAUGAUGCAACUCCGUCAGAACCCAUGUGCCUUGACCACAGAUUGAGGAUUAACCCACCCACAUGUGCAAACCCCAAACUGUCAUCCUCCAUCGCCAUGAGGAUAACAUCAUCAGCAAUGACAGGCCCCACAAGCGGCAUAUCAAUCAGUGAUAAGCAAUUAGUGCUCAUGUCGUACUUGAGAAUUCCUACUAGGCGAUCAUCGACGCAGCUACGAAGCUUGAAGUGAAGUGUGUCUUGGACGAAGACAGGAGGCACUUUGUGGAUGCACACAUCAGAGUCAAGAUGAAGGCCGGAGCAUGGAUUGCUCCACUUAUCAAAAUGAGAACGGUAUAUGCUCAACAAAAUGGGGUUGCUGUGGUCACCUGUCACCGGCAAGGUCACCCACGCCUGUGCAACACAAUCAUGAGCAUCAGUCUUGUUCAGAGCGAUGAAGACGACCUGGAAGGGCCCUGCGUGGCACGUACUAUGGUCACAGCCGCUUGCAACGCAGAGCACCGCUGCCCCAUAGCUCUUGUCCACCAGGACGGGCGCAUCCAGCUCCCUCCGGCAGCCCGUCAUGGGGUCCCAAACGGUGAGCGUCAUGGGUUUAUAGCCCGCAUCGCCAAGGAGAACACGACCAUGGCGGCAGUCCCACGCAUCAUAUUCCCAGUCCCCCCAGUCAUCGUCGGGAAUGCACGCACGAAAUUUCGUGGUGGGGACAAAGUGUGGGAUAUUAUCUUCAAUCUUCGGGUGGGAGUUCCAGUGGCAGGAAUAAAGGAAGCCCAGCAUGGGGGGAGCUCCAUGGAACUCACGGUAGCGGCCGCGAAAGCGAGCGCCGGAGAGGAGGCCAAGCCAGAACUUGUUGGCGAGGGAGGCGCGCACGAGAUGCUCAGCCUCGUCCGGCGGCAGGCGGAGGAAGAUCUCCUCCAGAAGCUCGUCCGGCAGCGCCGAUACGAGUGGCGGCAUGGAGGGUUGAGGCGGCAAGGGUUUCUGGUGGGGAAUUUUUUUCCCUUAAAAAAAGGGUGGCGGCGGCGGAAGGGAGGAGAUCUGGAGAUAAUUCCUUAUUUGACUUCUUUCUUAGUUUCCUUUUUUGCCCUAAAAAAUUUCUUCCGCUUUUGACACUCAAACUUUAUUUUAUUCUCUUUAUAUCCUUUCCAUCAUUUUUAACCAUGAACACCCUUUUUUUAAGGGAAAAAACAAACACCCUUAUGUCCGACAUGAAAAGUCCUUUCUACCCCGCGUUAGCCCGCUGAAAAAGUAGAAGUGCGUGUGAUGUGGCCUCAUACCUUCCCUCCUGAUUCUCCACCCGAACCCCAACUCUAUGACGACGGCAGCAGCGGCAGCACGAGACACAUAGGGGCCGCGGCGGCUGUAUGGGGGAUGACCAAAACUUUGAGGAAUAUCAAAAUUGUUGUACAUGACUGAAACACAUAGUAGCUAGCGGCCGGAGCUUGUGAGCACGAUGAUUCAGACUAUUGCAGCACGAUGGAUUUUUAAGUGUUGAACUCACCAUCGAUACUAAUAUGAUCUCAACUAGUACUGCUGCAGAUCACUUCUGGAUUAAUAUAAAAAGCAAAAUUUAAGUGCAGCUCGUGUCCACCAGAAGUAAUUAAGGAAACCACCAGUGCCGGUUGUUUAAAAAUGAAUAAAAGGACAGACCAAUGCAUAGAAGCUCCCACACAAGAUGGGGGUUAGGGAGGGAUUAUAGGAACUUAUUCUUACCCCUGCAACAUGCAAUGCAGAGAGGUGACAUGUUUAUAGAUACAAUGAUUUUCUUUGCCCUUCACCUAUGCUUGUUAUGUUGACAUGGUAAUCCAGUAGUGUGGUGAAGCUCCCCGCAUUAUGAACAAUGUCAAAUUAUGCUAUUGAUAUUUUAAACUUACUCUUCAUUUUCUAAUUUGAAAUUGGAUGGACUUGACAACACAAUUAUCAUCUUUGUUUAUACACGUGCAAAACCUGUCAUUUCUCUGCUUUGUUUCAGGGUGAUAUGCCUGAUGGCAUGCACAAGUCUGCUGAAGGUUGUGAGACGAACCCAACAUAUAUUGCAGCAAAGAAGGCAAAACAUCUUGAAGAUAGCGAGACAACCCAAAAGUCUUGUCUUGAUGCAGUGUUCAAGUUACUUGAGACUAGCAAUCAGACAAGCUCACAGAAUUUGUUGUCUGAAUCAGUUCGACUUCUUCAGUCCCAAGUUCUAGCAGAAAGGCAUUCCGUAACUCAACUUCGACUUGAAGUCCUAUCUCUAAGAAAGAUUGCGGAGAACACCAAUGAGAACCCUCAUCGCUAAACAGCUACACCUGGAAGCUAUGACCGACAUGCUAGGCCGGUCUCACAGCCUUACUCAGCAGCUUGGGCAGCAGUUCCUGCGCAAGGCUAACCUUUCUUGAACUGUCUUGGAAGUGGUCUCCGUUCAGUAUUAUUUUGUUACGCUGCAACAAUGCCCAGUUUUUGUAAUCUGCUUCUUCGUUGCGCUUUAUGAUCACUGGUGGCGAACUUCGAUGCCCAGUGAAUGUAAUAUUGUUGGGGAACAUUGCAGAAAAUUAAAAAAAUUUCCUACGGUUUCACCAAGAUCCAUCUAUGAGUUCAUCUAAGCAACGAGUCAUAGGAGAGAGAUUGCAUCUACAUACCACUUGUAGAUCGCGUGCGGAAGCGUUCAAGAGAACGGUGAUGAUGGAGUCGUACUCGCCGUGAUCCAAAUCACCGAUGACCAAGUGCCGAACGGACAGCACCUCCGCGUUCAACACACGUACGGAGCGGAUGACGUCUCUUCCUUCUUGAUCCAGCAAGGGGGAAUGAGAGGUUGAUGAAGAUCCAGCAGCACAACGGCGUGGUGGUGGAUACAGCAGGACUCCGGCAGGGCUUCGCCAAGCUGCUGCGGGAGGAGGAAGAGGUGUAGCAGGGGGAGGGAGGCGCCAAGACACAGGGUGCGGCUGCUCUCCCUCCCCCCUCCUUUAUAUAGGCCCCCAGGGGGGCGCCGGCCCUGGGAGAUCUAAUCUCCCAAGGGGGGUGGCGACCAGGAGGGGUGGAGAGGCAAGUGGGGCGCGCCCCCCACCUAGGGUUUCCAACCCUAGGCGCAGGGGGCGGCCGGGGGGGGGGGGGCGCACCAGCCCACUAGGGGCUAGUUCCUCUCCCACUUCAGCCCACGGGGCCCAACGGGAUAGGUGGCCCCACCCGGUGGACCCCCGGGACCCUUCCGGUGGUCCCGGUACAAUAUCGGGUGACCCCGAAACUUUCCCGAUGGCCGAAACAGCACUUCCUAUAUAUAAUUCUUUACCUCCGGACCAUUCCCGAACUCCUAGUGACGUCCGGGAUCUCAUCCGGGACUCCGAACAACAUUCGGUUUGCUGCAUACUCAUAUUCAUACAACCCUAGCGUCACCGAACCUUAAGUGUAUAGACCUUACGGGUUCGGGAGACAUGCAGACAUGACCGAGACGGCUCUCCGGUCAAUAACCAACAGCGGGAUCUGGAUACCCAUGUUGGCUCCCACAUACUCCUCGAUGAUCUCAUCGGAUGAACCACGAUGUCGAGGAUUCAAGCAACCCCGUAUACUAUUCCCUUUGUCAGACGGUAUGUUACUUGCCCGAGAUUCGAUCGUCGGUAUCCCAAUACCUCGUUCAAUCUCGUUACCGGCAAGUCACUUUACUCGUACCGUAGUGCAUGAUCCCGUGACCAGACACUUGGUCACUUUGAGCUCAUAAUGAUGAUGCACUACCGAGUGGGCCCAGUGAUACCUAUCCGUUAUACGGAGUGACAAAUCCCAGUCUCGAUCCGUGUCAACCCAACAGACACUUUCGGAGAUACCUGUAGUGCACCUUUAUAGUCACCCAGUUACGUUGUGACGUUUGGUACACCCAAAGCACUCCUACGGUAUCCGGGAGUUACACGAUCUCAUGGUCUAAGGAAGAGAUACUUGACAUAGGAAAAGCUCUAGCAAAACGAACUACACGAUCUUGUGCUAUGCUUAGGAUUGGGUCUUGUCCAUCACAUCAUUCUCCCAAUGAUGUGAUCCCGUUAUCAACGACAUCUAAUGUCCAUAGUCAGGAAACCAUGACUAUCUGUUGAUCAACGAGCUAGUCAACUAGAGGCUCACUAGGGACAUGUUGUGGUCUAAGUAUUCACACGUGUAUUACGAUUUCCCGGAUAAUACAAUUAUAGCGUGAAUAAAAGACAAUUAUCAUGAACAAGGAAAUAUAAUAAUAAUCCUUUUAUUAUUGCCUCUAGGGCAUAUUUCCAACAAAUAUAUCAUAAAUUAUUUAUUGUAUAGUGUAGGUUUAUUUUUAGUUACUAUGCCAUAAUCUCUUAUUAUAUACAGUAGGUUUGUUCUUAAUUCCUACUAGUUACUGUCAUCAUUCACUAUCUGAAAAAAAAUCUAAUGUAGUCGAUCGGGCCGAAACAUUCGCCUCUAACGGGCCUGGUUUUUAGCGGGCCACAAUUGGGUCGGCCUGCAUCUUUCUUGGGCCCGAAUGAUUGGGGCCUUCACACUUUGCGCCAGGCCCACAACUUACUCCGGCCUAUAUUUUAGUUGAGCCUUUUGUGGACCCAUCGCUUAGUUUGGCCCAGGUAGCGUUGGGCCAUUAACAGGCUGAAUAUUCUACUGUCCUGUUACGGCCCAGACGAAACCAUGGGCCUUUAGCAGGCCGAAAUGCAUGUUGGGCCUCAAUUUUCACUAGUCGUCGACGGGUCUUCAAUAGGCUGAAAUAUAGACCAGGCCUUUUUGGGCCCAGUUAUAUCACGGGCCGUUACCAGGCCGAAACAUAUCUCGGGCCUUAGUUGGCCCACUGAUAUCAUGGGCCUUUAAGAGGCCGAAAGCUUAGUACAUGCAUGAACGAGCCGAAUUAUACGAAAGUCCUUUAACAGGCCCAAAGUCACGUUGGGCUUAACUGUUGCCACCUUUAUCACGAGUCGUUAGUGGGCCCGAUGCCCCGUCGGACCACAUAUGACCCAUGGGUAGCACGGGCCAUUCCCAGGGCGGAAGUCACACCGGGCUGAAAUGGGCCCAUGUCUACAUCGGGCCUCUAACAAGCCGAAAGUCACUGGGCUGUAAUUGGGCUCAAAUAUUCGGCGAACAAUUAACGGGUCAGAUCUGGCUUUGGACCGUAAAUGGGCCUUUAUUAAACAAGUCAUUAUUGGGCUGGCCCACUAGUACCUGAGUAAGUAUUACGGGCCUUUGACUGGGCCGGCCUUUUUAACCUAUAUGGGUCUCUGUUGGGCCCCGUCACGUGUCGACGUAUCAUAGGCAUGUCUCCUCCAAUGGACAGGCGACAUCUGACCCACUGACGAGCUAACACGUGUUUCCUCGGACCAAUCAGAAUUUUACAUGUGGAAAUUUCCCAUUGGUCCGGACUGUUAACGGGUUAUCGGAUCCAAAACCGUACCCGAUAGCUUAACGGCGUUCCGUUACGGUGGAUGCCACGUGUCGGUCACCCUUGACGAAAACACUUCUGUAACGCACGAUUUAUCGUCAUGGAAGUGAACACUUCCGUGAUGAUAAUUUUGAUAAUGUCAUGGAAAACUUCUACGACAGCACAGAUAUGACUAUCUUGAUUCUGUCAUAAAAUCGUUAGGGAUGUACAUGCAUAACAAAAAACGCGACCUACUGUGACAAACAUGUAUCAUCGCGUAAGUGUAUUUUUUUUUAUAGUAGGAUGACCAAAACUCUGAGGAAUAUAAAAAUUGUUGUACAUGACUGAAACACAUAGUAGCUAGCGGCCGGAGCUUGUGAGCACGAUGAUUCAGACUAUUGCAGCACGAUGCAAUUUUAAGUGUUGAACUCCCCAUCGAUUCUAAUAUGAUCUCAACUACUACUGUUGCAGAUCACUUUUGGCCCCUUCUCCCUCUGGAUUAAUCAAAAGCAAAAUUUAAGUGCAGCUCGUGUCCACCGGAAGUAAAUAAGGAAACCACCAGGAUGCCUCACCCGGUGACGACGGCCACCACCAAUUUUUCACUGUAAUCGUCUCCCACUUCGUAUGCUCACUCCCGAACAGCAGGCGGUCAUGACGGGGCGAUGGGAUCCCAACUGAUUUGACCGAUGCUUCUUCAUUUUCCGAUGUGAUGCAGCGUGGAGCCGUGUAGCGAGCCAAUCCCUGAGGUUCGUGGCGCCAGAGUACGCGGGAGAUCAUUUGUAUCCCUGGUUUUGAAAUAUUGAUUGUUACUUUUUUGAAAUAUUUGUAUCCGUGGUUUUGUCCUCAGUCGUUCUAGUCCUGUGCAAAACAAAAAUUAGAUGUUGAAAAAAGUGCAGAGCACACCCGCAAAUAAAAAAUAAAAAAUGCAGAGCACAGUACGGCACAUGAUUGCCACCCACGCCGGCCGUCCUCGUCGCCAGUCAAGGCCCUUGCCGCUGGCUCCACCCAUGCGACAGCUACACCCCACGGUUGCAGCUCCGUGUGGCGAGGGUUGUACCUCUGGUGGCCAUGGCAGCAGCUCGCCACCGCAGCAACAAAACAAGACGGCGGUUGUAGCCUGCUAGGACGUCUCUGCCGGUGAGAGAGCUUGGGGAGGUUGCGACCUGCGUGAGGAAGGUUGUGGACGAGCAGAGCCGCAGCAGCCGGAGGUGGAAGAAAAGCAACCAUACAUCAUCAUAUAUAUAGGGAGACUGGCCAAAAAGCAAGUUAAACAAUUUAUACUACUUCAACACCCCAUAUUGGUUGUGAAAAAACUCGUCCUUGUACUAUGUAUAUUUUAAAUUCAUCCAUGUAGCAUGUUUACUAGCCAGAGAACUCAGGCUCUGCCAUGAUGAUGAAAAAUAUUACUCCUCCCGAUUUAUAAUAAGUGUCACAGUUUUGAACUAACCCCAUUUCAAAACCGUGACACUUAUUAUGGAUCGGAGGUACUAUUAGAGUAGAAGAGGGCUGAAAGGUCAUGUCACUGUUGAUUAGAAACAUAUGUACCUAGCGUCUAAAACCAAAUGGUGGACCGGGCUCAUACACGUACUAGGCCGCAAAGUGUCCUUUCUAUGGAUCAAUCCAAGGGUCUAGCGGAAACUUCUCCAAAAUGAGCCAGGACAUAAUUUACGGAUAAUAACUGAAGUAAAUACGAUUGCCUCAAAAUAAUUAAAUAUGAUUUCUUAUAGUCUUCCACAAUAUUGCCACAUAGAAAUGUAGUACACAAAUGAUUUCGUACAAGACGAUAAAUCUCAUAAUUUGAUUAAUAUUAUCUAUAGUUAUUGUCGUUGGUUCAACUAAUUGUCACUUACCAAGUAAAUAUCUUGAGUUUGAGUGAAAAAUAUAUAUUAUCUAACUAUACAUUUCUACUCCUAUAAAAAUAACAAGUUGGCAAAAAUGGUGUGUCUGUCAUCCAUCAUUUUCGACCAUCAAAUCUGCAUCGAACACAUGGGAGACAACCCCACUUCAACUUGCAAAUAGACCCUUAUUUUCUACUUCCUGCUCCAUCUAUGCCCACCUCAUCCAACAAGAGGCAUUCGGUCCUUCUAGAAACGGGGAGCAAACAAUGGAACUGAACUGGGCAGGUCGCCACUACCGCUCACACGCUGCCAGCGCCGGACGCUCCGAAUGCCUCUCCCAGCUCAUCUCUAUUGUAGCAGCCCCACCACUCACCACCUCCCCCCUCCUCCAUGUUGUCUCCUCUCCCCCUACCCCAUCUCGUUCGAUGCUGUCGGCAAGUACGCCGCCAGCGCCGUCCGCCCCCAAGUCCGCGAAGCCUCUUUUGCCUCCUUCUUUGAUGCAGCAAACCCUCCGCCCACCACCUCCCCUCCUCCCCCUACCCCAUCCCAUCAACAUUGGCAAGUACGCCCCCGACAUCGUCCGCCCCCAAUUCCACAACAAGCCACCACCAAAAGACCAAGCAUGAGGGAGGUGUCGCAAUAUCUUUAGAGAUUUUAUAGUAUGAGAUGGUAGGUUGCAAAGUGUUUUAUCGCUCCUUCAAAGGAUUUAUCUAUAUAUCCGUUGGUGUGAGGUUAUAUAAUAAAGAGUUGGGAUGAUGAUUUUCUCAACAACACCAACAAGAGAGAGUUGGGAUGAUACUUUGUUUUGCUUUUUCAUUAUCAUAUUAUAGAUGUUGAUCUUGUGAGAGGUCAUGACUACCAUGAUAAGAACAUUCAUCUCACCGACAUUUGCAUUAAUUACUUUUUGGUACUUCUCUUUGUUAUUCCCUCUAUUCAAAACAUUUGGAUAACGUCUACAGCAGGUCUCUUUUUCAUUGACCCUCCUCCUUCACUUGGUAGCUGCACAUCCAAUUUUUCAGGUCACACACCAAUUUUUUUCCUUCUUGUGUGUUAUCGGCAUCUUUUUUUGGGCAGAAACCUGGUUAAUGUAUGUAGUUACUAGAGGUCCAGUACUAAUUUUUGUGUAUGUAUAUGUGCACUCGCCCCUUCUAUAUACACAUAAUUUCAAAGCAUCUCUUACAGUAUAUUUUGUUUCUUUGCUCGGUACAAAAUGUAUUCCAAGUGUUGUUCAUUGUUUUUUGCUUUGUCCAAAUAUACUGCAUACCCUCUACAGACUCAGUUUUUUCCUUUGUUUGAAGAAAACACAGACAGUUAUGUACGCAAUAGUGAUCGUCUGAUGCCCUUAUAAGCAUGGAAAAAAACAGCGCGUUAUAGCGGCGCUAAUAGCGCGCUAUAGCGUUUCUGGAAACUGAACGCUACGCUAUGCAGAUUUCACUUGCUACGGCGCUAUUCGCGCUAAAUACGGCGACUGCACGCUAUAGCGCGUAUCGACGCUAUUUUUUCGACGACGUUUUUUUUCAGACGAAUUUUUCAUCAGCCCACUAUACUUUUGGGCUUUCUGGCCCAGUAACCAAGCAUAUCUUCUACUCCAGCCGAGCGAACCCUAACCAACCUACCAAGCGAGCCCUUCCCAAAUGAACGAGGCGGCGGUGGCAGCAGCGGCCACCGGUGCUUCGCCCGUCUCCUCCAUCCACGGCCGGCCGCCUCUUGCUUAAAUCUGAAUGUAUGAACUCUGAACAGUGCUAUAUGCCUAUAUCUGGACCAUGCUUUGCUAUCUGAACAAUGUUUUAGCCUGGGUUUUAGCUGCUGAAAUCUGUCAUUUGUAUGCUAUAUGCUGAAAUCUGAAUAAUGUUUUGUGAAACGCUAUUUUGCAAAAUAGCGCGCUAUUAGCAUGCUAUUUCGUUUAUAGCAUUUUUUUGAAGGCUGCGCUAUUUCAAAUAGCGCACUAUUUUUUUCCUUGCUUAUAAGUGAGCAGGUAGAUGAAGGAAAAAAAACAAAAAAAAACA